GAUGAUGAGGCCGUGAACGAUGUGGUUCUUGGAGAUGGAGGUGAGGGCGGCGUGGACGUUGGGGUUGUUGAGGCGGAGGAGCUCGAGGGCGAGGUCUCGUGGUAGGGGAGAGUGAUGUAAAGUCUGUGGGAGGAAGCUGGGGGGAAGGUGGUGAAUGCUGAUCGAGGGCCGGGCGGUGGAGACGGAGGCGAUGUAGGAGGUGGUGGAGCCGGCGUUGUAGGCCUGGCUGGUGAUGAGGACGUGGAUGGAGAGGGAAGGGCGGUGGGAGAGGAGGAGCUUGCCCAGCUCCACCAUGGAGAUGAGGUGGCCGAUGGCUGGCGAUGGAUACAGCACCACUGCCUCCUCCAUCUGAUGUGUACGAGAAAAGCGGUGUCGAGAGAGAGAGAGAGAGAGAGGGGGAGAGGGAGAGGGAGAGGAUUCUUGAAAAUGCGUGUGAUGCGUUGCACUUUUGUGGGAAAGCAGGCAUAGGAUCGGUUGUUUUCUUUUUGGGCUAUUAAUUAUGUGGAAUUAGUUUGAGUUUCACACCUGCUUUUUCCGAGCAGAAUAAUCAGUGGGGAAGCACUUCUUUGAAUUUUCAGCUACGUCAUUUUCUAUCUCUACUUUUACUCGGCCAAAAGUAGGACCAGAGUCGGUAGAAGGCGAUGGCGAGAAAUGAGUCAUUUUUUGUCUCACAUAUUUCGCGGAGAUGUCUAGAAUCCACGGUUGUUGAAGAAGGAUGGAAUGUUGGAGUCAAAACUGAGAAGGAGAAAAACUAAAGGGUGGGCCCCCGUACACGUGAAUUGACCAGAAGUCGAAUGUGAACUGCUCGGCACUUGUCAAGUGUGCAGUAUUUUCCUGAGAAAAUAGUACGUAUAUUUGUGUGAACUGCCAGCGGAACAGAAAAGAAAGGACGCAAGCUUCCGACACGUAUUCAAGUGAGGCCGAAACUAUCAUUACAACACUCUCGCAACGGUCAAAAGCCAUGACUCACCAAUAUUCUCCCUCCCUCCCUCCCUCUCGAACAGUAUAGGCCAAAAAUCGAAUCUCGAUACAGGUCUCUCUGGUUGGGAAUUGGCCGAAUCGUGCGCUCGGAAGCUCAUCGUGGAGGUUUGCCACACCAAGAACUUGAUGCCCAAAGACGGCCAAGGCACCGCGAGCGCCUAUGCCAUCGUCAACUUCGACAGCCAGAGGCGGUGGACGAAGACCAAGUUCCGGGACCUAAACUCGCAGUGGGACGAGCGGGUCGAGUUCCCCGUCCACGAUGCAGAGUCCAUGCCCUCAGAGAUUCAGGAGAUCAAUCUCUGCAAUGAUAAGAAGACCGGCAAGUGCAACAGCUUCCCGGGCAAGGUGAAGAUUGCUGGGAGGGGAAGGCGCCGAUCAGACGAGGGCUUGGUAAGAGAGAGAGAAGCGUGCAGGGGAGGAAAGUAACAUUUAGGCCCACUUAGACACGUGUUGGAAGUUCAUGUACCUUCUUAUUUGUUGCGCAAUAGUUUCUCAUAUUUUCAUCAUAAGGCAAGAGAGUGGGAGAAAGCGACUCCAUGUCCUUGCUUCCGACUAUGAAAAGUCGAUUUGUCUUUUGGGAUAGCUUUUGGCUCACCGCAACUGAUUUAGAUCGUUACCAAACUAUAUAUUAUAAUAUGACUAAUCCAUGAAUCAAUAUUGUGAGUGAGUCAUGGUACUCGUAGACCUAGCAUAAUUCUUUUUUUCACUAUAGAUUGCCGUGCGUAUUUGUCUUUUUAUAGUUUCACAUGUUCACUGUCAUAAAACUUGCCCGGGAAAAUGUGAAUAUAACCCGGUGCAACUUGUGCGAACUAGAUAGGUUCUAGAAUAAAUGAAAGUGGUUGUCUGAUUCAAUUUUGAUUACCAAUGGUUUUAAGUACGUACUAGGACAUUAAAAGUGUCGUUCAUAUUACACUUACUUUAAUUCUAAGCAUAUUGUAUAUGUAUCAAUUCAAUUCUAAAAUUUUAAGUUGUUUCAAUGUAAUCAUAAGCUUUUGAUAAUUUGUCAAUUUAGUUAUUCCUGCUAAUUUUGGCAUAAAAAUAUUGGCAUGAACAAUUUUCUGCAUUAUGUAAAACUUUUUUUCUGAACUUUUUGUCUUUAUUCUUUUAUUCUUUCCUCUCUCUUUUUUUUUAUUCCAACUCUUGGCUAGUGAGGUCGCAAAGAUAGCUAGCCACAAGUGAGGGCGUUGGACCCUUGCCCAAACCUGGAGAGAGUGCCAUGGCCCUCAUCGCCCCUCAUGUUUGGCUAGCUAGGGAGUUGGAAAAGGGAAAUUAAAAAGGAAGUUAAAAAAAUAAAAUGUAAGGAUAAAAAUAAAAAAAAUUGUCUACGUUAGCGUCUAGUUAAAAAUUGUUGAAAUGAAAAUUAACAAAUCGUUAAAAUGUUUAAGACUAAAUUAAUAGGAUUGAAAGAUUUAGAAUUUAAUUAGCAGAUCGCAAAAAGAUUUACAACUGAAUUAACGCAAAUGUAAUAGAUUUAUGACCUUUUUUUUUUUUUUGCAUUUCUCCUCUUUGGGUGUACUAAAACAACUGAGAAGGUUAGGUAUGAUGUAAUUGAGUGUACAAUCAAGAAACAUUAGAGGACGUAUAUAAUGUGACCAGAUUACUUCAAACCUAACUACUUGUCACAAUUAAAAUUGUUAGGUAUUGAUGUAAUUGAGUGUACUCAACCUUUCGGCAAAUUUUCUUCUUUGGGCUUUCAUUCGGUUACGUAAACAAAAUAGAAUCGAACCCGAUGUGCCGUGCAAAUCUCUUUCAUAGGCGAAGGGGAGUAAGAAUUGUCUUCAAAAUAAAGACCCUGGCAGCCCUGCCAACAAGUGAACUACACAGUGUAUACAUCACAUGUAGGAGUCUCCCCUUCUUUGCUUAGAUGACAUCGUAGGAGGUGCAACCUCAGAUAAAAAAGGCCAUCGUCUGACGUUAAAAGCUACCACUUCCAAGCCACUAAUGCAACCCAGGUCCAAGUUAGUAUUUCUUGUUGGAUUGGGCCUGAGGGUCGAACAAAUGGACUGGUGCGUGUGCAUUGCGCGAGCGUGUGAGGGUCAUUUUGUUUUGAGAAAAAUAGGCUGACUAAACCUGUGAUAAGUGAACUUACAUACCUAACCAUAUAAACUCUCAACGACUUGUCUGGGCCACCACGCCGCCGCCGCCACCGCCGCCCCCCAUGGUUAGGUCUGACUUUUGAGGUUUCGGCUUUACAUAUUGUCCAUUCAGCGGCGGUCUGGACCACCACGCCCCCCCCCACCAACCAACCAAAUCCAAUACAGUGACGCGGCUACAUGAUCCGAGGAAAACUACUAAUUUCCAUUCAAUGCAUAUCAGCAUGAAGCUAGAUCUCUAUAUAUUAUGAAAUAAUUGCGGAUUCACUCCGUCACUUUGAUAAUAAAAUCCAUUGUUUUACGUGAUCUAUGUUAAAUAAGGAGAAAAGUAUACUACAAGUGCCAUAACUUUGUCCAAAGAAACACUUAAGUGCCAUAACUUAUUAAAGGUACACUUAAGUGCCACAUUUGAAGAAAAGUGGGACACUUGAAUGCCACCUCCGGCGAAGCCUGCUGGGAAUCAUACGUAGCAUUUAAAUAUUAAUAUUUCUCGUCAAGGGGGCUCGCCGGAGAAUUGAGUCGGCUCUAAUUCACCCAAAACGACAUUGUUUCCAGUGUUGGCUAAAAUAAAACCCUUAAAUCGGCCAAAAAGAUGUCAUUUUGGCAAAUUUGAAUUUUAAUAUAAUUUUAAAAUUAAUUAAAUUAAAUUAAAUUUAAAAUAAUAAUAAUCAUAUAAAUUAUAUUUCUUUAUUAAAAUAAUAAUAAUGAUAAUUAUAAGAGUAUUUAAAAAGAAAAACAACCCCCGAAACCGAGGAGGAAGGAGGCUUCUGUGGUUUAGGGCUAAACCCUUCACGCCACCCACCCAUCUUCCUCGGUUGGAAGGUNNNNNNNNNNNNNNNNNNNNNNNNNNNNNNNNNNNNNNNNNNNNNNNNNNNNNNNNNNNNNNNNNNNNNNNNNNNNNNNNNNNNNNNNNNNNNNNNNNNNCAUUCAAUUAAAUGAGAGUUGAUUUUGGGAGCUUCUACCAUAUAUGACCACAAGUGACCUGUUGAUAUUAUGAUGCUCUGGCUAAGGUCUCCGCCGCCUCCCCCCCACUAUGGCAAUGUUCCAUCGACGAGAGUGAGAGGGUCAACUAAGGUCGCCAGUACCCUAGCUAGAGGCUGACUACCCUGGCUGUCUAAUCGCGAGAGCUCUCGAUCCUCGGCACGAUCCAGGCGAGGGUUGCAGCCCUCACCCAGAUCCGGCGAGGGUCAACGACCCUCGCCCGCCCAGGCCAAGGGCUGCCGCGCGCUAGGGGUUGCCUCAGCGGGCGGUGGCCCUUGGCUUGGCCGGGCGAGGGCCGCCGACCCUCGCCGGAUCUGGGUGAAGGCCGCAACCUCGCCCUGAUCUGGGGCGAGGGCUCACGAGCUCUCGCCAUUAGUCAGCCAGGGUCGUCAGCCUCUAGCUAGGGCCCGGCGACCUUAGCUGACCCUCCCCCCUUCGUCGAUGGCCCUUCCCAACAACGGUGGGGAGGCAGCGGAGCCCUUAGCCACCUCCCCCCAUUUUCUUUUUUUAAAAUUUUAAAUUAUUUUUUUUUAAAUUUUAUACUAAAUUUAAUUUUAAAUUUAAUUUAAUUUAAUUAUUUUUUAUAUUAUUUUUUACCACGUCAGCCCAAAACGACACUGUUUUUUUUCAUUAUUUGGUCACGUCAGCGUGCAAAAUGACGUCGUUUUGCACUUAUUUUGCUGGAAAAAUGCCACGUAUGCAAUUUGGCCGGAUUGACAGUCAAGUGAGCCAUUUUGCUCUGAUUUUGGCACUUAAGUGUACCUUUCGUAAGUUAUGGCACUUCGGUGUUCCGCGUUUCGUUAAAUAAGUUUAGUCGGUUUGAUGUUUAGACUACGCUCGCUCAAAGAGAUAUCUCUGAAUUCAUGGCAUACCUUAUCACUUUGCAUAUUUCUUGAGCACCUUCGUCUUCUGGGUUAGUUUAAUUCAAUGCACGAUCCACUUUCGUAAUUCUAGAUAAGUUUCCCCACUUGUACGACAUAAUCCUGGUGUGUGAUAAUAAGAAAUCGCAAGAUGACACUUUUAAGUCCGAUUUUAUUUUAUUAAAAAAAAAACUCUAGCCAUUCAUAGCUUUAGCACCUCGAAUUUGAGUUUACAUACCAAGAUGUAACAUAUUUAAUCUAAGAUCCUAAGGAUUCAAUUUAGCUCUUGGGCUAGUUGAGUUCGCCAUUGUUAGAGAGCUUGAAUUAGGCUCGUCCAUUUUACAAUCCCUUAAAAGAUGUAAUCAAGGCCCAACUAAAAUAAGGUUUACAAUGGAUAACGUUCAUUUUACUUUGAUCUUUUGUUUGCUCGACUAAAAUAAGAUGAGACUAACAUGAUAUUUCUACGGCUAUAUAAUAGAUAAGAAAAUAACUAAUCCAAAAAAUUGAUUAUUUUUUUGGUCGAACAGAAAAAUAAUAAUCAAUUUAGAAGAAAGGAAAAUAGCGAAGUACAGAAUCCUAAACUCCAAACCCAACUCACCGACCCACGGGCACGCUCUUUCCAGCCUAGUAGGUCCACGUCACCACUUGCAUGUUGUCCAUCAACGACGCGUCGUUCUCGACCCUAAAGCAAACCUCGAUUUUAUGACGAGAGAUCCUCGGGUGGAUAGGUCGGCCCGCAUGAGAUGAUUAUAGCUCUCGGAGUAAUGAGUGAACAUGCGACCCGAAACUACAAUAAUAUAUACAUAAAUAUAUAUAUAGCGACAGUUUCGAUUUAAUAGUGUUAUCAGUUAUGUUGUAAUUGUGCUAUAAAGUGCUGUAAUUAUUUAUUACUUUUAUAUAUUUUGAAACUGUAGUACAUUAGAGUCGAAUGAGACGAUUUCCGUUGAGGCUAAGUUUUUCUCCACAAGGGUACAGUUUUGGCCUGCAAAACGACCACCCGAAAGUGGAGAUACAACUACAAUUCAAGAAAAGAUUCAAACAUUUCUCGUCCGCCCUGUGGACAUUUAUUAAUUUAGAAGAGACAGAUCAAGCACGUGCGACUGUGUUCGUUGUACGUCAGUUUCGCCCCCAUUAAAUACUGCAAAAUACCAAAAAGACGAUAAUAGAAAAGAUUCAUCGACAGACGAACGACGCAAACGACGAAGACGACCCACAAAGUCCGGCGUGUUUCACUCGCGCUUCCACGAAUCGACGAGUCCGGCCAGCGCCGACCAAGACGACCCGCCGGGGCUUAGCGCGGCCUUUGCUUCUUCCUUCAUGACCAGCACUCGCUCUCUCACCAUCUUGCCCUCCUCACUCUCCAUCAACUCUCUGACUCGCUUCUCCACCUCCUCCGAACUCACCCACCCGUCCUCUGACUUGUCCACCGGCAGCGCGAUUUUCGUCUCCUGCACCAGCACCACCCUGGUGUGCCCCUGCUCCGCGUAAAGCGGCCACGCCAGCAUCGGCACGCCAGCGCACACCGCCUCGAGCACCGAGUUCCACCCGCAGUGAGUCACGAACCCCCCCACCGACGGGUGGCUCAGCACCGCCACCUGCGGGGCCCAUUUCUUGACCACGAGCCCCCUGUCUUUGGUACGUUCCAGAAAGCCCUCCGGAAGCAGCGACCCCAAGUCCAAGUCGGGCACCUCUGACGUGGCGGCCUUUUGGUUCUUGUCCUUUGUCGGGCUCCGGACCACCCACAAGAACCGCUGACCACUCCUCUCCAGCCCCGUCGCUAUUUCCUUCAGCUGUUCCACCGAGAACUCGCCCAUGCUCCCGAAACACAGGAACACGACGCUCCCUCUCGGCUGCGAGUCCAGCCACGUCAGAGACUCUGGUGAUCUGCCGUCGUCGCCUCCCCUGCUAGAGAUCAGCGGCCCGAUGCAGUAAAGCGGCGGAGUGGGCCUGCCGGGCACACACUCGCCGUCCCUGAUGGCUCCUAUGACUCUUGGCUCGAGCUUCUCGAAGGUGUUGACUAUGAUUCCAGCUGAGGUCUGCAUCUUCAGGGACGAAUCCAAGAAGCCCUUGAAGGCAUCGUCAUAGCGAUCCUGCAACGGCUUCAAAACAUCGGAGGGCUGUAUCGGCGGUGUGCCGGGGACAUCUAUGGGGGCGUCAAAGUCUUUAACGCUUAUGGCGAAGUUGUCGUGAAGAGUUGGGAGGUAAAGGAAGAAGUUAAGGAAACAGGCGCCCGAAGUGAAGAAAGAGUAGCAGGGGAUGUUGAGCUCACGCGCGACGGUGACAGCGGCGGCGCAGAAGAAGUCGACGACGAGGCCGUGAACGACGUGGUCUGUGGAGAUAGAGGUGAGGGUGCGGUGGACGUUGGGGUUGUUGAGGCGGAGGAGCUCGAAGGCGAGGAUCUCGUGGUUGGGGGAGGUGGUGGAGAAGUCCGGGGGGAGGGUGGUGGCAGGGAAGAAGUGGAAGGCGAUGGAAGGGUCGGCGGCGGAGACGGAGGCGAUGUAGGCGGUGGUGGGGCCGGCGUCAUUAGCUUGGUUGGUGAUGAGGAUGUGGAUGGAGAGGGAAGGGCGGUGGGUGAGGAGGAGCUUGCCGAGCUCCACCGUGGAGAUUAUGUGGCCGAUGGCCGGCGCUGGAUACAGCACGAUCGCUUCCUUCAUUGCUUGGGCUUGUUGAUGUUCUUUUCACACGACGUUGAAGCUCUCUGAGGCCGACGGUUGUGGGGAGAUUGGUCUGUUCUAUUGUACUCCUCACAUCGAGGGGGAAUCAUAGUAUGGUCCAUCGAGGGGGGAUCACAUAGUAUGGUCCAUCGAGGGGGUAUCAUACAGUAUGGUCCCUCGUAAUUCUAAAUUUCCAAUACUGUCAGAUGCAUAACGAAAUGGAUGACGCAAUUUAUUUUUGUGAGGUCAUAGUAUGGUAUGGGCCCAAUAUUGUUCGGAUCUAGAACGUGGAAAAUGGCGGCCCAAGGAAAUAUGACUGUUGAAAGCCCGUUUGAUAUAUGUAUCAGGUUCAAUGAAUAUUUCGGUCUAUAAAUCAUGUCGACUAGGCUCAUUCCAAACACUGGCGAGACGUGGUCCUAUAGUAAGACCCAUAUAUAUUUAAUUGUUAAAAUGAUAUAGAGAAAUGAUAGCAAUGGUAUUUACUAGUCUCUUCUGAACCAUAAAAAAAAUUAAUGAGAAAUAAUUAUAAAUUAUUAUGAGGUAUCAUGCCGUUAAGAAUUUAUAGUUCAAAAUAUGCCGUUACUGUAACAAUAACUCAACAACUAUUAUGCUAAUAAAACCUGAUAAUAUAUGAUCCUCGUGAUUUAUAGACUAUAUAUGGAAUAGCUUCUCGUUAGUUUAGGCUAGCAUUUCAUUUGAAUACUUCGUAAAUUUGGUCAUUUCGUCAUCAUAUUUUGAGUGCUAUGUUAAUGAUAUUAAGAUCUUUUACCUUUUCUUAUUUUAAAUGAUGAUAAAUUUGUAAUGAUUGUUUAAACUAGUGAGACUCCUCACGACUUUAGAAAGGACAUUUUAAAAGCAUUGAUUGUAUUGUGUCAACCAAUCUCCAUUCUUUAUAUGGAUGGGGGGUUGAUUCUUGAUCGAGUGAGGGUGACAAAGAAUAACUGAGCUCAUACAACUUCUUUUUUAAAAUAAAAAAAAAAGAAGAGAAAAAGAAUUGAUGUUUUUGCAAUUCCAACACGACAAUGCGGUAGAUCCCUAAUCGUGACCAUAAUUGCAAAAGCUUGCCCGAGAGACACAACUUCACCGACCGGGUGAAAGUAGCAUAGGGACAUCAUUAGAGGAAAGACGAGCGGUGCAUAAUCUUUCUUCCCUUGGGGCACUCAGCUUCCCAUGGAGAGCGGGAGAGCUAUAAAUUGUUGGAAGUGGAAUUGCCGCUACUAACUCAGAACCUGGCUACUGAGAAAAUACUACGUAAUCGGCUUGUUUGACAGCUCAAUUCAUACUGGGCCAAGCGUGGAAAAUCGAGGGUCUUUUCUUUCGAUCUCGAUUUAUCGAUUAUACGAACUUGUAAAUUAUGUGCAUGUAGAUUACGUAAACAUUGCACCUACUCUCGCCCAAAGGCUGAAAUUUCAAAUAGUGAUUUUAGACAUUUGAAAAUGCACCGAGUCAAUUUAAGAGGAAAAGAACAUGCAAAAGUGCAUCCAAACACCGUGUGCUUAUUUUCCUUUUCCUUUGUUCCCCUUUCAAUUUUGGUUAAACUAGUCGUGCUCCAAUUUGAGUAUUCCUUUAGAUUUCAAAGUGUUCGAUGCGCGGUCUUUGAAUCAAAUUGCAUCUCUUCAGAAUCAUUUAUAUUGACCGACGCACGCAGUAGGUAGAAAAAGAAAAUGAUAGAGGAUUGUUCUAAAAGAAAAUGAUAAAGGAUUGUUCAUGAAGAGUGUGGUAAAAAAAUCAAUCAUAGUGCUGCUAGAUACAAGUUUAUAUAUACGUCAAUAAUGAUGAUGAGGAUGAUGAUUAUGCGAUGGAAUGUGUGAUUUGUGACGUAAUUCCUAUAUAUAUAUCAGUAAUGGCACCUCAUUUCUAAGGAUGCUUUUGAAUUAUUUUUUCACCAUUCUAGUAGUUAAUAGGGGAAAAUUGUCAAAAAGUUCUAAAUUUAUUAUACUUUUGUCAAUUAAGUCAUAAAACUUUCAAUUUUACUAAUUUAAUUCUAAAUAUUUUUACCUCUUAUCAAUUGAGUAUAUCUGGCUAUUUUUUUAUUGGAAAUUACUGACAUGACCAGUCGGCGCUAAUGUAGCACUUUUUAAUAAUAUUUUUAAAAUUUAAUUUUUUUCCUCUUUUUUUUUUUUUUUUUGGGUUUGGCUUUAGGGCGGGCAAGGUUAUUGGCCAACCCCAGCCACAGUCGAGGGCUGACGACCCUCGUCAGCACUAGGACAGGGCCGUUGUUGCCCUCACUAGAUUUGGCCAGGCAAGGAUAGCAACCUUGCUCGGGGCCCUCACUUAGGGCUGGCAAGGGUUCGUUAGACAAAGUCAAAGUGCUUGAUCCUUUGCCCCAUGGUCGGCCUUAAUGCCAAACCCAAAGAGAGAGAGAGAGAGAGAGAGAGAGAGAGAGAGAGAGAGAGAGAGAGAGAGAGAGAGAGAGAGAGAGUAAAAUUAAAAAUUAAAAAUUAAAAAAAUUAUUAAAAAACACUAUGUCAACGUCAGCCAACCAUGUUAGCAAUUUACAGGCAAAAUUGGCUAUAUGGACUCAAUUGGUAAGAAAUAAAAAUAUUUAAAACUGAAUUGAUAAUAAUACAAUAACUUUUGGACAAUUUUUUGUAGUUGGUCGCCAUGGACCAAAAUCAUUUCUAGUUAAGAAGCCGAAUAUCGUCAUUUUAGAUUUUGUAAAAUUUCGUUAUCACGCAAACAAUUUUGCUUACUAAAAAUAGCUAUUAUUAUUUAAGCUUUGAGGCUAAAUAUCCUCAUUUAAGAUUCUGCCAAAUCUCACAAUCAAGAAGGUACUUUUUUCUCAUCCAAAGCAAUCGUGGAUUUUUCAGUGACCUCGUUCAAAAAAAAAAUCUUGGCUUGCCCACUGGAGCGAUGGAUGUACAUGUAAGCGAUAUUAAGACUUGCAUGCACACACGGUUCGACAACAGCAAUGUUAAUGCUGGAAUUAUUUAUUAUUUUGGACAAGUCCUACCGCUUGCGCGACAAAAGCCUGGUGUAUCUAUAUAAGAGAUCGCAAGGGGAAGCUUCAAAUCUGAUCCUAUUUUAUUUAAAGAUAAGCUCUAUUCAUCCAAAAUUUUAACACCUUGAACUCGAGUUUACAUGGCAAUGUGAUUUAGGAUGCCAAGGAUUCAAUUAAGCUUGUGGGUUAGUUGAUUUCACUAUUGCUAGAAAGCUUGAAUUCGCCUUGUUGGUUCUACAACCCAUAAAGACUGAAUAGAGUUCUUGACUAGCACAACUGAAAUAAGGUGUAUGAUGUAUAAUGUUCACCACUUAAAUGUUCCGUCCUGUCUCAAAAAUUAAAAGACCCAAAAGGAGUACAAUCGAGCCAAAUUACUAAGAAACUAAUAAUUCAUGGUGAAUGUACUGUAUAUCAAAAGCUAUAUGUCAUAUAUAAAUAUAAAAAUAUAAAAAUACAUUUUGAUUCAAUAUUGACUUUUCAAGAAAAGAAUAGCCAAUUACCCCCAUCCAAAGCUCUGAACCUAGUUCAGACGGCCAUUUCUAAAGGCGCAGUGGACCUAAUGGCCUAAAAACAACGUUUUGAGAAAAUAUUGGAUAGUCCCGAAGCGCCAAAUCAACGUGCGCCCCAAUCUCCACGUGUGCGUGUAUGGCCCCACUAGUUUUUCUGCAUAAAAUCUAUUAUGUUCCUUUUUUAAUUUAAAAAUUUACGGCCAUUAAUAAGCUACCGCUGCUUUUUUCUCUCUCCUCUAAUUUGGAGUAGGCUUGCACGCAUUAAAUGAAUACGCACACUACAACUUCCCUUCCCUCCUUCUUUCCUUUUCAAUUCAAAAUUUUUGGUAAGAAUUUGCUCUCUACGUUGCGGUGCUUCUUCGGCCUCUGCCCCAAAGCUUGUUGCUUCUCGGCCUGCGUUGUUGUGUUCCAUCUUCGCCUUGCUUCGGUGUGGUUUCCCUACACAAGACGGCGAGGAAUGUUCUUGCUGUAAGUCGUGGACUCUACGUUGCGGUGCUUCUUCGGCCUCUGCCCCAAAGCUCGUUGCUUCUAGGCUUGUGUAAGAUGUUGAGCGGAGCCUCGACACUUGUUGGCAAUGUAGAAUAACUAAAGGGGAGGAGAGAUGAGGCUGAAACUUCCUCUUUUUUCAGAACAACAAAGUCUUUUUACAAAGACAAAUACAUAACGUAAAACACGACUAAAAUAGGACCCAUAACUACUCAUGUUCUGCAUAAAGCAUGUACUCCACUAACACUUAAAAACUAGGACAACUAACACACAAAUUAGCUAAACGUGACUCCAAUAACUCCUAAAGAUUAGAAUAACUGAAAAACCAAAUCAGCAAAAACGUAUAGAAAAAAUAAUUAUUAUUUCAACAAUCCCUCCCUUAAACUGAUGUUUACUAAUAUUCAGUUUAAAGUCUUGACUAUUUUCAACGUGCAAACACCUAGUAACCUUCUGAGCUUCACAAAUGACUCCAUCUUGAGGGCCUUGGUGAUAUAUCGGCAACUUGAUCUUCACUCCGGUAGUAGAUUAGAUCAAUUGUUCCAUCAUUGCUAAAAUCUCUCAAGAAGUAAAAUUUCACAUCAAUGUGCUUGCUUCUUCCAUGUAACAUAGGAUUCUUGGAGAUUUUGAUUGCUGAGUUGUUGUCACAAAAAAAUUUAGUAGCUCCUAGUUGCUUGAAUUGCAACUCCUCAAAAAUUCUCCUUAGCCAAAUAGCGCGACAAGCACUAGUUGUUACAGCAACAAAUUCAACUUCUGUACUUAACAAUGUGACAAUUAGUUGCUUCUUGAAUGACCACGAAAUAGCACUUGUCCCAAACAUAAAAGCAUAACCCGAAGUGCUCCUCCUAUCAUCUUGAUCUCUUGCAUAGUCAUUAUCAGUAAAUUCCAACAAAUUAGACUUUUCACCAUUCUUGUAAGAUAGCCCAAAGUCUCUAGUUCCUUACAAGUAAAGAAAGAUUCUCUUGAUAGCUAACAAAUGCAUUUUUGUAGGAUUCUUUAUAUAUUUACUGAUUAAACUCACAUAAUACAUUAUGUCUUGUCUUUUUGCAGUUAAAUACAUCAAACUGCCCACAAUUUGUUUAUAAAGUGUGCUGUCAACUUUCCUCCAUUCAUGAUCUUUGUACAUCUUUUAGCCAAACUCAAUCGGAGUGUUUACAGGAUUACAAUCCUUCAUUUGAAACUUGUCCAUAAUUUCUCCCACAUAUUUCUUUUGAAAAAUAAAGAUCUCAUCAUCCUAUUGUACCACUUCUAUGCCAAGGAAGUAAUGUAUCAUACCAAUAUCAGACAUUUCAAACUCAUCCAUCAUAGAUUUCUUGAAUUUUUCAAACAUGGCAUCACAAUUUCUAGUAAAUAUAAGAUUGUCAACAUACAAGCAGACAAUGAUCAUUUUCCCUUUAUCUCCAAUUUUGACAAAAAAAGUAUGCUUAUAAGGACAUUUUGAAAAACUAGCUUUAAGAAAAUAAGUUUCAAUACAACUAUACCAAGCUCGAUGGGCUUGUUUUAGCCCAUAAAGAACUUUCUUCAAUAUAUAAAUUUUAUGUUCAUUUUCCAAUCUUGACAUAACAAAGGAGUUGCUCGACAAAUAUUUGUUCAUCUAAGUACCCAUGCAAGAAUGCUGAUUUGACAUCUAGCAGGAAAAUAUGUCAAGAAUUCGGUGUCGCCAAUGCAACCAUCAAUCUAAUUGUGUCAUGUCUCGCAACUAGAGAAAAAAAUUCUAUAUAGUCGAUCACAUAUUUUGUAUCCCAUGGCUACCAAACCUGCAUUGUAUUUGUCAAUUUCACAAUUUUCUUUCAGUUUUGUUUUAAAGACCCACUUUAUACCAAUGGUUUUUUGUCCAUUCGAAAGAUCGGAUAGCUUCCAAGUAUUAUUUCUUUCAAUGGCAUUAAUUUCAUCAUCCAUUGCUUUUUGUCAUUUUUCUUCUUUGACAGCACUAUCAAAAGUUGUAGGGUCAUAGUCUAAAAAUAAGGCAAAGUGAGUAAUUGAAUCUCCAAUUCCAAUUACAUUAUAAUCUUCCAUCCAAGCAGGCCUUCUUCGAACGUGGUGAAGAGAUUGAGCUUCUUCUUUAUUUACUUCAACGACUAUUGGUGAAAUUCUAGCAGCUGUAGAAGUCGUGUUUGAUGAAUUUUUUGGCAUACAAAGUGCUGAAAUUUGCUCAUGUUCAACAUUAUUAUCAUAAAGGAUUUGGGUAGGCCGCUGCCUAUUCCAAUCCCAAGUGUUCUCUUAAUCAAAAACAACAUCCCUACUAGUCAUAAUUUUCUUUGUUAGUGGAUUGAAUAAUUUAUAUGCUUUGGAUGCUUCACUUACACCAAGAAAGACACAUUUUUCAGUCUUUUCAUCAAGUUCCUUCCUUUUCUCAUCCGGGAUAUGAGCAUAUGCGAUGCAUCAAAAGAACUUGAAGUGAUCUACAACCGGUCUUCUCCCACUCCAAGCCUCUUCUGGUGUCAUAUUUGGAACAGCAAAAGUUGGACUUCUGUUCCAAACAUGAAUACUUCAAUUUACUGCUUCUGGCCAGAAAGUCUUUGGAACUCUUACUCUUGUCAAUAAGCUUCUCACCAUGUUGAGAAUGGUUCUAUUUUUCCUCUCAAAUACACCAUUCUGUUGUGGUGUUAUCGCGACCUUCCCAAUGGUGAAUUACUUAAAGAAGGCUAAUGGAUUACUAAGUCCGAAGACUUGGCACGGGACCUCCCAAGUCCUACCAAUCGCGACUUGAUGUUAAAAAAUUAAUCUAUUUAAACAUGCAAUUAUACUCAAUUUGGAGCCGCCACUAAUCAAUUAGGGUUGAUUAGAAACCCAAAUAAAGUAUGUGAGAAUACUUUAUUUUUGCGAACCAGAGAUUCAAUAAGUCCGGGGACAUGGUUACGCUAGAUUAGUCUAACGCCCUUUCGGUACCUUUUAUUUUAAUUUCAAAGAUAUUUUGCAGGCAAUGUUGAUUAAUUUUAACCUAAGCUACUAACAUGCAAAUGGUAGUCAUGCGGGUGCACAAUCAAUAAAAUAACAUUCAAUGAAAAAUGUUAAUAAAAAUGCAUGCCCUAAACAUGAUUUCUAAAUGACAGGACACCUAAUUUUUCUUUUUUCUUUUAAAAAAAUGUUAAUUAUAUGCAAUCUUGAUCUAAAUUUAAUAUGCAUGGAUAUUACUUUAAUGAUAUGUGAAAUGCGAUUCAUAUGGCAUUACUAGAACUAUCACUAUAUGCAUGCAAUCUUAUUUACAUAAUCCUAAAUAUGCAUGUGUUACAUGACAUGGGAUGGAUGACGUGGUAAUUCUAUAUGCAUGUUCUAUUUAAAAUUAUACUUUAUACAUAUGCACCCUAUAUUAAACAAUUAUGAUAUGAAAUGGGAUUAAUUAUGAACUAACCUAUUAAUUAACCAAGUAAAUGACUUUUGUGUUUUAUUUUUUAUUUUUUGAAAUGACCUAAUAAUUCUUAUUAAAAAAAUAACAUAAUGAUGCAAUACUAAUCUUUGGCUUUUUUUUUAUUAAAAAAACAACUACAUGACGGGAAUAUUAAAGCAUUAACCUAUGACCCACUAACUAAAGCGCAACAUGUGGUGUGCACAUUAUGAAAUCUAUAUAACCUAAAUAACAAUUUUUUGUUCUUUUUUGUUUUGUUAAAGGAAAAUUAACCUAAUCCUAUUUUAAUCUAAAAAAUCAAAAUGCAAAGCUUUAAAUAUGAAAUGCAUAUGGACCUAGGUACUUAAAUUCUAGAUAUGACAUAUGAUAUGAUAUGUGAUGUGCAAAUAACAAUGAUGCAUCAAAAUAUACGUCCUAUUGAUAAUCUAUCAAAAUGAAUCAAUUACAAAUUAUCUUUAUGUGAAUCAAUGAUGUAAAGCAAUUCAUGAAUUUGCCAUGAAAAGUCAAAAUAAUCAAAAAUCUAACCCGACGUCUCGCGGGUCAAUAUUUUUUUAUUAUCAUGACUUAAUAUGACCAAUUUCCUAUCGGGUAAUGAUAAUAAAUCAGAACAAAUCAAGUUAGAAUAAAAAGAAAACUAUGAGUCCAAAUACUCAAAAUAAACUUAAUCUAAAAAUUUACCUAGUCUACCUCACGGUUAACUUGAGGAAAUGGCGAGGAAGCAAUAAUGGCUGAGCUGCGAUGGUAGUUCGCCAAGGGUGAUGGGUCCUGGUGGCCGGAGCUGGGGAGGACUGGGCAACGGCAGCAGUAGGGAGGCGCGGCGUCAGUGACCGGCGAACAGCAAGGUUGCAGAUCGCAGCGGUGUAGUCGCGAUAGCUGAGGUGCAGUGGCGUCGGCAGCAAGCUCACGGGUGCAGAGGCGGCAACAGGCGGCGAAAGGCUCGGGUAGAGACGGUGACAGGGCGUCACAGGUGCUGGUGCUCGGGCGGAGACGGAGUGGUUGCUAGCGUCAGUGGCAGAGGAAGGCUGUUGGUGUCGCGAUCUGCAGCAGCAGGGAGUGUGGGGUCGUCGUGAGGAGGCGAUGCUCAGGCGAUGACGAGCAACAGGGGAGAGCUCGGGCUACAGCAGCGGCGACGAAGGCGAUCUGGCCGAGCUGCUGGGCAUCGGACAGAGGCUCCGCAGGGGUGUCGGGGCUUCUGGCGCUGCAAAUCGGCAUCAGCAGAGGGGGCUCAGGAUCUGCGGUAUUGCGGGCAGAGACAUGGAGAUCGCUGGGUUGCGGGCGGAGGCAGGCUCGAGUGCUACGGCGCGGAGGUGAUGAGCAGCAACGGCGGGGGCAGAAACACGGUGGUGGAGUGGGUGUAAGAGCGGCAGCGGCAGCUCGGCGGCCCGGGCACGGUCGUCGGAGGUGUUGGUAAUUUGUUUAUAAAACAAAUGAAGAGGUGCCUUGUCCCACAUCGAAAAGAUGUGAGUGCGCACGUGGACGAGAUUUGGCACUAACCGACAAUCAAUUUUUUAUGUCUUUUUAAUGUAACCUUUUAGACGUACUUGUUCACGAAAGGUUGUCUUUAUUCUUUUGUAACAUUUUGAAGGGUUGCCUCUAUUCGAAAGACAUAUAUAAAUACAUUUGUUUUGAGAUCAAACAAUAUCUUCUUUCAUUUUUUUCGUGUUCUUUCAAAAGAAACUACAGCCAUUGUUUCUAAUUGUUUCUCAUGAGAGAUCCUGGAGAAAUACUAGAAUUGCUAUCUAGUAUUCUUGUUUGAGACUUUGUUGUAUCCUGGAGGAAAUUUGCCGGUGACCAUUAGCAACAUAGUGGGGCAAAUAAAUCUUAAAGAAAGUGAUAUCACGCCUCAAAGUCUGACUUGAGUACUUUAAAGAUCCGACUUCAUUGUUCUACCCAAUUUGAAGCCAUAUUAUCCCAACAAUUUUAAGGAUUUAUUUUUUCUGCAACAAUGAAGUUGGAGUUAAUUGAAGUCAAGUUUUGUCGGGCACAUUCGUUUGCUUUGCCGCCAGUGCAAUUUUGCUCGAAUCGAGAACCAGGGCAGAGGACUUUGGUGGAACUUCAGAGCGUAUUGAUGUGGCGGGACAGUUCAGUUAUUUCUGGCAAAUCUCAUGACAAUCACAUUGAUAUAUCUUAUGCACAGAUGAUACAGCAUCACCAGAGGGGGUGAAGAAUAUUUUGCAAGCGGAGGACAACAUUCAAGAUAUUAUGGAACUCUUAGAACAAGGAUGAUUGUGUUUUGGAGGAAGCAAAAUGAAGGAAAUCCUGAUGGAUAUCAGUUGAUACAAAAAGAAGAUGUGCAUACGGAGGAGACUUCAAACUCUUUGGCAAAUAUAUCGAGUAAUCACAUGCCAUGACUUCUUGCAUGUUGAUCUGCUCCAUGAGGGCGUGAUGUUCGACAAUAAGUAUAGAACGUUGGAGAAGACUACUUGGAGUCAGCAGAAAGAUUUGAUCCUCGAGAACGCUCAUGGAGACCGAUAAAGGACAUGAGCACGAAAAGAGGGGGUCAUUCUUUGGUCGUCUUGAACCAAAAGUUAUAUGAUGUAGGAGGCUACGAUGGAUCUAAAAUGGUGGCGACAGUGGAUCUUUUCGAUCCUCGUGCUGGUUCGUGGAUGAUGGUGGAAUCGAUGGACGAUCUCACCCGUUGAAAUAUUUAGUCGCGAGAAUUCGAAAACAAAACCAUCUUUUCUCGAACGGAUGGUGAAUGAAACGUAUUGGCAUGGAUGGCGGUUGGGACCCAACGCCAGUCACGAGGGACGAAAGGACGUCAAUGGCGUGGCUCUUUCUACGUUUAGCCAUCCACGUGCUUUAACUGGUGCAUGAACCUCUGACUCGGUGAGUCGUGUCUUUUCGCCAGCGUGCCUGCCUCGGUUGAACCAGAUUGAUGCGGUGCUUGGUUUUUGUCGAAGAGUCUCGAUUGUUGUGCAGAGUGCGCGCCAUGGUCGCUGGUUUGCACGAGAAUCACCGAUCCGGUGUUCAACUCGGGGCGAGGGUCGGCCCUGACGGAGAAGGGCACGGUGGAGAUGGAGGCGAGCAUAAUGGACGGGGUGGGGAGGAGGUGCAGCACGUUUUCUAGUGUGACGAUGGUGAAGAACCCGAUCUCCCUGGCCAGGCUCAUCAUGGACAAGUCCCCCCACUCCUAUCUCGCCUUCGCAGGCGCCGAGGAGUUCGCCCGCCUCCACAUCUGUACUUUCUGCCUACUCCCAUAGACUUCUGCUUCUCCUUUUUUGCUCACGUGGGUCUCGCAUUCGAGUCACGAAAAUCAUGAACUCCUCUCAAGAGAAGCAUUUUUGCGGCAUGUAUUAACGGACGGUCUCGAUGAACGAGGACAUGGAAGUACUCGACACGGUGGAAUGUUACAAAGAGGGUCUCGGAUGAUAGGAGAUUGACCAAAAGGCUUUUGAGAAGAGGUGUUAUUUCUCUGCAAUCGUGGUAUGACAGAAGAUCGAGGUCCUACACUUCGGUUCGGUCCUAUGUAAGUCGAGCAGGGGAGCAUGAUCUCGUUGGGAUUGCUGCACUUAUUGUGCGCGGUCAAAGCUCUUUAUAUGUUUUCAGGUUUCUGCCUACCUUCAAGCGGACAAGCUUCCUCAAUAAAUAAGGAGGAUUAAGGAUGUCGUUGUGAGUACGGUAAAAAAUAGACUUAGUCAUCGGCAGGAGAGAGAAUUUGAAAAGAGAUAAGCUUAGAAUUUAAAAAAAAAAAAGAAAACCCAAAAGAAGGAGAUAAGUUCAUCCAGGGAGAAGUUGAGAAAAACGCCAAAGCAAAAUUUGGGCUGUCCCUCGAUGGCUUCCACGGACGCUGAUGAUUAUCGCUCAUUGCCAUUGGCUGUAUUUUGAAACAGCACAAAGCAUGCUCUGCUUGGUUGAGAGCCUGAAGCGACUGCAUCUCCAUCGAAACUUUUCGUUGGCUAAUAUUGCUUCACUUUUCUGUGUAUGACACAAGUAGAUGUGACCGAAAUGUUCCUAUGUUUGCCAAUUGGUGUCACAUUAAUGGCACUGAUCAAACUCAGGAAUAGUGGGGGUCACUGCACCCACAGAUAGUUGUGAAAGUGAAGGCAAAUGUUGGGUCAUUCAUGGAUGUCUUGGAGGACUACUUGAGAAUGUACCGAGGUGUUGCUUUUUGCUAAUCGGCUUAUAUGCUAAGUUAUGCAAUAUUUUUAUCUCCAUGUUUAGCACGUAAACUGCUACACUAUUUGUCAUUGAGGGUUUCAUACUUGCUCUUAGUCUUUAGUCAUUUUGGCGUGUGUGUUCAAUUCCAUGUGUGGGAUAAUGAUACAAUUGAAGAGAUGCGAUAUGCCCCAAUUUAAGACUUCAGUAACAAGAAAUGGUACACAUGUGUAUGCUUGAGCUAUUGAUCGUUGUAGGUGGUUGACCAAGAAAGGUGAGUUCAAUCGCAAUGCAUUACGAGAUUGACACGAGCGUGUGAAUUUUGAACUAGAACUGGAAGGUGUCUAUAGAAUUUUGGUAUCGUGUGAUUGAGCUAGACUUUUGGUCUUGAUUUGUUUCAUGCUUUAAGAUUUUUGAGCCAUGCAUUCAAGCACAAGAUUAAUUGGAAUCGGCUUGAUUGCUUGAUGUCUUGGAUUAAUAUGUGCACAAAUGUUUAUGUUAUUAUGGGCUUAUGCAAGCACAUAAGCAGUGGCAUGAACGUUUGAUUCAAUCAUAUUAUCUAAUGGUUUCAAGCAUAAUAAUGUUAAAUUUAUGGUUUUGCCAUUGCAUGCAAUUUGAUGAAGAAAUGAGGUAUGGCUCUGAUUAUACCUUUUAGAAGGUUUCGGAUUAUACAAUGUUGUUGAUUCCAUUCCUAGAAUUGUUGGUAUCUUCUUUUCGCCUCUCUCAAUUCCAGUUUAUGCACUUAUGAUACCUCGAUACUCGAUUCGCUUGCAUUUACUGAAUUUUUAGAGAAUGCUCUUACAUGCAUGGGAUGAUAUGUAGUGCUCUAUUUAUGGAGGCAAUCUGGAGAUACUGAAUGGGUUUUUUUUUUUUGUGUCCCUUGUUUGGUUCUAAUGUGUUCUAUUUGUUGUCCUUGCCCCUCAUAGAUUUGAUUCUAAGGAAUAUCAUAAAUGAGCCAAGAGAGUAGAAUUGCAAUGGUUUUCUAUUUUGAUGUAUGUAUUUCAUUGAGCAUGAAAUUUGACAAUGCAUAGUUUUGAUUGGAUGCCUCAUGAAAUAUUCUUGUGGUGGGGGUAUCCGAAGGGGACUUGAAGUCAUUGAGACUAAGAAGUAUCUAGCUUUCAUUUUCAAAAUGAAAUAUUUAGAAGAAGCAGAUACUAUCUUAAGUAUUAAAAUUAAAAAAUAGUGGGGGUUAUUCUUUGAGCUAAAGUGAUUACACGGAGAAGAUGUUGCAUAGAUUUAAACAUCUUGUUUUCAAAUAUAUGAGUACUCCAUUUGAUUCCUAGUGGAGAGUUUUUAAUGUGAGUGAUAUUGGUUUUUGAUGUAUGCGAUACAUUAUCUAGACCUGAUAUUACUUUUUGUAUAUGCAAGUUGAGUAAAUACUAGUAAUCCAAUAUAGAACAUUGGAGGGUUAUCUUAUUGUUCUAUAAUAAUUCGGCUAUAUUAGAAAGAUAUAUCAAUGCUAGUUGGAUUGCAAGUGUGAGAGAUAAACAAUCCACUAAUGGAUUAAUUUUCACAUUACGUGAAUGUGUUGUUUCUUGGGCGAGCAAGAAACAAAUGUGCAUAAUUCACUCAACUAUGAAACUUGAAUCGUUGCUUUAGCAGAAUUUGAGAAAGAGGCUAAAUGGACUAUGAAUUUGUUGUUAAAUAUUAAAUUAUGACCUAAUCCAAUGCCUCCUAUUUCUAUCUAUUGUGAUAGUCAUGCUACUUUAGUAAGAGCCUAUAGUAGCACCUAGAACUGUAAGUCUAGACAUAUUAGUCUAAGACAUGAAUAUGAGACAAUUGAUUAAAGAUGGUACCAUAACAAUUGUCUAUGUGAGGUUAAGUAAUUAUCUUGCCGAUCCUUUGACGAAGUCUUUACCGAGAGACAUGGUAAUAAUGACCUCACAAGAAACGGGGCUGAAACCCUUUAAUUGAAAUCACCAAUAAUAGUAACCCGACCUUUUUCUAGAACAUCACUAGUUACAAGGUUUAAUGGGUAAGAACAAGUUAUUGGAUGUGAUUGUUUGAUACUGACGUAGCCCUGAUAUGAGAAGUCAGUAUCGUCUAUUACGUUUUGUAGGUUGAAUUGAAUUCUUAAUGAAGUAUGAUACAAAUAUGUAACGUGUUGAUAGUAACAGAAACACAUGGUAGAUACUUCGCCUAUACGAGCUUAGAAGUGGUGCCGCUUCUUACGAAAGUUAGGGUUGCUUUCUAGAGAGCUCAUGAAACAGGAUCAAGCACAAGGCCAUAAUAGUGUAGAGUAAUAUAGAACUUCUCGCUGAAACAAGAGAUUAGUGUAUGUGCGGUAUGUCCGGUUCUAUUACAUAAAAGUACAAGUUUAAAGCCGAGCUACUUGUCACUUUGAUAGAGCUUUGAGAUACUUGCACUAAGUAAAGGUUUAACUCGAAAGAGACCUUUAUGUAUGUAUUUUAAUCUCACGGAAACUUUGGCUGUAUAUUUCUAACAUUUUGUUUUUUGUUUUUGUUUUAUAAACAAAAGUGGGGGAUUGUUGGUAAUUUGUUUAUAAAACAAAUGAAGAGGUGCCUUGUCCCACAUCGAAAAGAUGUGAGUGCGCACGUGGACGAGAUUUGGCACUAACCGACAAUCAAUUUUUUUAUGUCUUUUUAAUGUAACCUUUUAGACGUACUUGUUCACGAAAGGUUGUCUUUAUUCUUUUGUAACAUUUUGAAGGGUUGCCUCUAUUCGAAAGACAUAUAUAAAUACAUUUGUUUUGAGAUCAAACAAUAUCUUCUUUCAUUUUUUUCGUGUUCUUUCAAAAGAAACUACAGCCAUUGUUUCUAAUUGUUUCUCAUGAGAGAUCCUGGAGAAAUACUAGAAUUGCUAUCUAGUAUUCUUGUUUGAGACUUUGUUGUAUCCUGGAGGAAAUUUGCCGGUGACCAUUAGCAACAUAGUGGGGCAAAUAAAUCUUAAAGAAAGUGAUAUCACGCCUCAAAGUCUGACUUGAGUACUUUAAAGAUCCGACUUCAUUGUUCUACCCAAUUUGAAGCCAUAUUAUCCCAACAGGAGGUAGCAGGCGGAGGCGUCGGCACAGGGGUGCAGUGGUGCGGCUGGGUGAACGCGAUGGCGCAGGUGCGGGCACGGUGGUGCGCCGGUGAGGAGGAGCUGUCGGUCUGCGGGCAGCAAAUUCCGGCGAGUGCAGGGGGAAGAGGAUGAAUAGUAAACGUCCAAUCCCCCUGCCGAUUAAACUUUUGCCUCUGCUUUUUCCCCUUUUUUUUAAUUUUUACUCUCUCUCCUCCUACCCACCUCUUCGUACACACACACACACACUCUCUCUCUCUCUACCUUCUUUUGACUUUUUCCUCUUUUCCUCUCCCACAAAUCGAAGCUCUCUUCUCUCUUUUUUUCUCCUUUCAGUUUUCACUUUUUUUUUCGACGAAGAGAAGCCCCCUCAACUCCGAAACCUCGCCCUCUUUUUAUAGAGGAAAGACUCGGAAUUGUUGAAGAUUUCCCAAUAUUCACUCAACUUCUUCAACAAAAAAGUGGCUCCAAAAUGACACGACUGUUGCAUUUUUGAAUUCAAAGUUUUUUUUUUUUCAAAAUUUCCCUCUAUAAUCAAAGAUUAUCUUUUAUUUCUAAAAAUGAAUUUAAAUUAGGUAUCAACAGGUGUAUAUGCGGCUGUAAGCUCUCUUCGAAUGCCAUGAUUUACACAAAAAGUUUCAAAUUCUUUUGAGCAAUAUUCAUCACCACAAUCUAUUCGAAUGGUCUUAAUGGUUUUACCUGCUUCAUUUUCCACACAAGCUUUGAAACUUUUAAAUAUGAAGAAAGCUUCUAACCAUGAAUGGACCUAGACUUAGAACCAGAGAAGGAGAGUAAAUUUUCUGCAGGUAUGCAUCCCACAAUGGGCGAACAACUCCCGUUCAAGCCCUCAGGGACAGCCUUUUAGCAGGAAACCACUCGCCCUUUAGUUCAGAGCCUAGAGACACUCAGAGAUGCCAGGAUGGAAACGUUUCUAACCUACCCAAGCUGCAUUUCUUGGAGGAACCUACCAGGCUGGAGAAGAAGAGGAGUUUAGAAAGCCAUAGAGAGAGUUUUCAUAAAACACUCACUUUACUUCAAGGGACUCUGCCCAACACAUUACACCCUCCAUGCCUUAUAUAGACAAUACGAGGUCACAAAGCAACAAACAAGGACCAAGCUCAUGGGUCCGGAAACAAACAGAGGCACCAGAAACUUCCGGGAGGGAAUUAUUCGCACACUAUGAACAGUAACUGUACUGUGAACAGUACUUUCCCUAACCUAGUGCUACAGUAAAAGUGAACAGUGUUUUUGCUACAGUGAAAUUGUACGAACUCAGCGGUCUCGUCUGUCACGAGUAUUGUAGCUACAAACUGAGUCAUCUGAGCUGUCUUCUAGUAGAUGUGCCUCAUAUUUCUGUUCAAGAGCUUCAAGAUCUUCAGGUGAGAGGAUUUGGUUUAGCUGUCUUGAUGAGGAUGGUUCUACAUGUGCCCAGUGGGAUGCUUCCUCUCAAGCCCAGUCUGUAUUGUCACGUACUGCAGUGUCGGGAGGAAUGCUUGGCUGGGGCCAAUUGGAUGGCUCUGCAUAGAAAGAUGUGUCCAUGUUCUGAGAUAAGGACGAAGGUCCUAGAUCAUAAGGGUCUUGGGAAAGAGGACCUCCCCAUUGUGCAUAGGGGUCCUAUGUGGAUUGGACAAUGUCAUCUGUAUCUGUCAUUUCAUUAUCUUGGGAUGAUGCAACUUGUCUGUUUUGCCUGAGUGCUUCCUUGGCUUCUGGUGCCAGGUCAUAAUGAUCCCACGCAGUGGGUUCACUAUAAUUCCAUGCUUAUUGAGGAAUAGUUUUGUUUUCUUGGCACAAAAUUCUCUAGAGUUCUCGGUACUGAUGUUCACAGGAUCUAACAGAUCUUGGAUAAGAUUUGUGAAUCCGAGCUUCUCUGCUAUCCAGGUGGGGUUUGUAGGAUGUGGUUCCUAUUUCCUAAGGGACAUUAAUGAUGUGGCCACUAUUUGUGAAAAAAUACCAUGGUCGCUGGAAGAACAAGAUGGUAUGAACUUUUAGGAUUUGGUGUUGUGGUUCUCAAUUCCUUUUCCGGGAGGUAUUUCCAAUGAGUAGGAGGAUAGAACCAAUUGAGAAAGUCUAAAAGAUUUUGAUCACUUUCUCUUUCAACAUUUCUUCCAAGUAGGAAUAUCCUGGUGAGGUUGACGAUGAAUCUUCUGGUUGGAAUUUCAAUGGCUAUUAAGUACUUAUUGGUUAAGUACCAUAAUAACGUUUUGACCUGAUCAGGGAAAUCAUCUUCCUUCCAGAUAAGAGGAUGAAUGAAUGGAUAAUUUGAAUUUAAUCCAAAAGGAUAAAGAAUCGAAUCUCCAUUGAAUCUGAAUAGAUCUGUGUGGCAUUGCCACAUGAGGUCUCCCAAGUUUUCAGCGAGAUUGUCAUUCUGGAUGUGUUGAAUAAUCUCCUGGGGAUAUUUCCAGUUUGACAAGUCUUUGAUAUUUUCAAUCUUGUAUUUCACGCCAUGAUUGAGCAUAUGGAAAGCAAGCCUUUUGAUGUACAUGUUGAUUUCAGCUGGUGCUUUUAGCCUUGAUAGGAAGUCAGCAAGUACAUUCUUCUUUCCAGGAAUAUGCUUGGUUUCAAAGGAGUAUUUUGAGAACCAUUCAGCCCAUCGAAGUAGUUGAGAAUUUGGAAUCUGCUUCUGCUUAAACUUGGUCAUCUGAGGGAAAGAUGCCAUGUCUAAUUCUACUAGGAAGUGAUGGCCGAUGAGAUGAAACUCAAACUUUUUUAUUCUAUUUUUGACUGCCAAGAUUUCUUUAAAAGUGGAGUGAUAAUGCAUUUCAGCUCGAGAAAACUUUCCACUUUUAUGAGCACAGAGGUGUCUCUUAUCAUCAAUUUCUUCAAAGAGGAUGGCUGCCCAGUAUUCAUCACUGGCAUCAGUUUGGAGAAUUCUUCUUCCUGUUGAUGGUAUUUGCAAUGGUGGGAGAUUCUGCAUAGUCUCCUUAAGCUCAGCGACUGUUUUAGUUUGGGGUUUUCCCUAAGGUGGGGAAUUCUUCUUUAACAUGGAUUGCAAAGGAAUCAAGAGCUUCGCAAUGUUUGGGACAAAAUCCCUGAGAUAAUUGAUUAUCUCAAGAAAUUGCUAAACUUGUUUUGUUGUGAAGUUAUCUUCAGGAAACUUCAAUAACUCUUGAGCGAUAUGUGGCCCUGGAUAAUAUGUACCUUUGUUAAGGUGCAUAUCAAGAAAUUCGAUUUCUGUCUGGGCAAUAUUCAUCUUUUUUUGAGAAAGCAUGAUACCAUGCUUCUUCAUGAUUUCUGCAAAUUGCUCAAGGAGUUGACAGUGUGACUACUCAUCAGGACUGUAGAGCAGAAUGUCGUCAAUGUAUACGGCUGCACUUGACAAGAUUGGUUGGAAAAUGCGACACAUGGCCUUUUGGAAAAGGGAUGGUGCUACCUUUAAUCCAAAAGGAAGAACUUUCCACUGGAAGUGCUGGUUAGGGAUACAAAAUCCUGUUUUGGAUCUUUCUUUAGGAUGGAUGCCCAAUUGCCAAAAUUCGGCUUUGAGGUCAAAUUUGGAAUAGAUAUGGGCCUUGGUUAGACCAGUAAAGAGAGAAUCUCUGGAUAGUAGAGGGAAUUUAUCAUCUUGGAGAAAAAGGUUGAGAGGUUGAUAGUUGAUUACCAGUCUCAUUUUUCCCCUGUUUUGCUCAGCACACUUAUUGACAUAAAAGGCUUCACAAGCCCAUUGAGAAUUGGAGAUUUCAAUAAGGCCUUGUUGUAAUAGUUCUAAGCAUUCCCUUUGAGCUAAAGCCAGAUGUUCUGGCUUCAUUCCCAUGUGACUCGCCUUAGUUGGAUUUAUAUCCUCAUUCUUCUUAAAAGGAAGGCGAACAAAGAACUCUGAAUUUUCCCAUAAAGGAUGUGAGCACUUUUGAGCGAAUUCCGAAUGGGAUUCCGAACAAGAUUCUAACAAAUUUUGCAUGAUUGGGUCUAAUAGACUCAUCUGAAUGGAAAAGAGUCUCUGAAUAUUGACAAACUCAGAGAAUUGGUCUUUGUACCUAAGACCUUUUCCGGGAAUGAUACGAAGCUGAGAGAUUUGAGUCAUGAUAUCCCACCCAAUUAUCAGAUCUUUAUUGGGGAGGUUUGAUCCAAAGAUUUUUGCUGUUAUGGAACACUGAGGGAAGAACUUAACAGUUACAGGAGUGGUUCUGACAUUUGUGGAGAAAGUAUCUCCAGAGGCGGAAUUGAAAUAUCGGACAUAGGGAGUCCAGUAUUCUUCAGGUAGUACUUUAGUAUCUAAAAUGGAGCAACUUGCUCCAGUAUCAAUGAGAGCAAUAACAGUGAUUGACUUGGCAAACUUUGAGGUGAGAAUUUUCACUGGGAAAUGGGGACAGUGAGUUUGACUUGAGAAGAUGUCAAGGUUUGGUUCCGAAGAUGUGGGGGAUAUGUUAAAAAUGUCUUCAGACUCUGAGUCUGACUCAGUCUCACUGGAAGUUUGGUAAUAGGGAAUGGCACAAAGAGUUUGUUCAGAUGGUUCUUCAUCAGCAGAGAAUAGGGAUUCAAUAUCAUCAUUUUCAAGAGAAACACUUGUUUCAUUCUCAAUGUGAUGAAUUAAAUGAUUCUGACAUUUUCUCACUUGAGGACAAUUUUUGGCAAAAUGUCCUUUCUGAUUGCAGAUGAAGCAACGGUUUGAUUUCUUAUGGCCUGUGCGAUCCUUCUUUUUGCAUAGGUAUCGCCAUUUCUUCUUUUUCCGAAAAUGCUUGGAGCCAUGUUUGGAUUUCUUCAUCCAAAACUUCUUGAAAUGUUUCUUUUUCCGAGAAAACUUACCACAAGUACCAUCACAGUCUUGUUUGGAGCAUUUGAUUUUUAACUUCUGGCGAAAACAGGCUGAUUCGAGGCGCUUGUCAUAUGUGAUGUAGGUACGGACCAUCUGGCGCUUUAAGCAUAAUUCUUCAAGGCAUAGAUGGACUUCUUGCUGGAUUUCUCCCAAGGGAAUAUCUUGUAUUCUCCUUUGUUUUCCAAAGAACGAUCUUUCAACCAUCUGGGAUAGUUCUUUAGGGAUGGAAGUAAGGAAAACAUGCUUCAGAUUUGGAUCUGCUCCAACUUGAUAAAAGAGUUGAAGCAUUAUUCGGUAAUGCUUAUCAAGAUGCUUCUUCUGGAGGGAGCAACAUCUUCUUUCGAAAAAUUCUCUUCUUUUCAUCUCUAUGAGAUCAGUGGGUUUUCCCACAAGGACAUGAUAUAAGAGAGUGAUGGCAUGGCCGAAAUUUGGUGACAUUAGAAAAUGAAUCUAGUCUUGUUCUGAAAUUGAUUUCCACCAGAGUUUGAGGCUGCCUGUGAACCUCGUGACAAAGUUGUAAAAGACAUCAUUCAUAUCAUGGUUGGUGAUGGACUGAGUAUUCAACCAAGUAUGAAAAUCUUCAAGUCUCUCUGGCCAUUUGUGAUAAGGAAUAUCAUCAAUGGUGAAGAACUGUUUUGAUGCUAUGGACACAUGUUGUUUGCUUGUCUGAACGUUUUUUGGUUCAGAAUAGUUUGAUUCCAUAUCAUCAUCUGGAGGAUCGGCCAUGAAUAUUGAUGAAGUUACUAGCACAAUAGGGGGGAAUCAACUAUAGGAAUUGAGAAAGAUGAAAAGGAGGAAAGAGAUACUGAAUCUGAUUCAGUAUUAUGAGGAGUUUGCUCAGCUAGGAAUAGAAUCCGUUUCUCUAGAAUGGCAGGAUUAGGUUGUUGGAUUACAGGGUCAGGUUCUUGAGUACCCAAAUCCUUUAAAAAAGAUUCUAAUGGAUUGGAUAACAUCAUCUGAUCUGGCCUUUCUCUUAUAACAAUCGAACUUCAUUCUGUAGGCGGCAUUUUCUCUUUUCCUUUGUCCUUCUGUAAGGCUUUGAGGCGAUUUCGUAUUUCUGCCAUAUCUGGUUCCUUUCUGAAAGGAUCUUCUGGAAUGGUGGCAAAAAUAGACGACUGAGGUGAUGGGGGUAAAUACCCAGUUCUGACAGGAGAUGCCAGUGGAUCGAAAGGUCUAAACCUUCCUUCUUCAAGGAGUUGGAUUUGCCUUUUGAGUUUUUCUAUCUCUGGUUUUGGGCUUUCAAGAUAAUGAUACCCAAGAUGUUGACCUGAUUCCAAGGCAUGAAGCCUCUUCUGGAACUCAGAAAGCAUUUUUUUGGUGGUUUCAUCAUACCUUCAGAGAUCUUGUUGCACAUUUCCAAUCUUGGAAUCAAUUGCCUUGAAGGCAUUGUUUUGUGCUAACAGAGUCUCUGAUUGCCAAUUUAGAACAGCUUCAGCAGUAGGAGUCUUUCUCUGUCUUCCAUGUUCAUCUACAUCAGUGGGGGUAGAUAUCUUAGGAACAUGGCGAUAUCUGCCUUGCGUAUCAAUGAAUUCUUCUGAGGCAAGAAACGAGAGUUUAGAACUUUCUCUGACAAGAGGGGGAAAGUCAGUUUCUUGGAACAUGGCGAUAGAAGAAGUAGGUGGUGUUUCUGCUGGAGCCUCAAGUGGGUAAGAAUAUUUCUUAGCCCAUUUUAGGAUUGGCUUGUAGAACGGGGAAAGAGCUUGCUUUUUCUGAGGAGGAGAUGGUGGAGGAGAUUUUGGUGGAUCUGGUGAAACUUGAGUUGUAGUACUGGAUUCUGGUGAAGGAGGUGGUGCAUAGGAAACCAUGAACCGGUAUUUAUCAUACUCACCAAGAGUAUCAACGGAGGGGUCUCCGCUUAAAUACCUUUGGUACACCUUAUCCUUUGGCUUUUUCCUUCGAGGAGGGGGUCUUGCCAGAGGAUCUACCUCAUCAUGAGAGUUUGUGCAAUAGGAACAUUGGCAAAAAGGAUCCCAAAAACAAUGACCAUAGUUGUCUUUGCAAUAAUGGACAGGAUGCUCAUUACUGUUGAAGUGUCGAACAAGCUUUUUUGGAUCUGGCUCGGAAAUUGAUUGGGGAACACAUGGUUCAAUCAUGAAGAGGGCCUGGAAGAUAGAAGGAAUUUCUUCCUUUUCUUUGCCAAAUUUGAUGGAAACAGUUCCAUCUUUUUUUCCGGAUGAACUUAGAGUCCGUAGACUGAAAAGGCUUGUUAUGCUGAUGUAGCUUUUCAUAGUUGGUGAUCCAAGUCUCUGGAAGGAGCUUGGCCAACAUAUCCUUCGAGAUCUGUCUAGGAACAUGGAUGCAUGAUGCCUGAUCAUUCUGCAUGGAGAUAAACAAAGCAUCUUCAUUUCCAUUGUUGAAGUUGAGAUCAAGAGCAUGAUUCUGCACUCGAUAAACCAUCUGGUAAUGUAGGGUGGCAGCUACAGAGUCAGCAGUUUGAGGAGCUCCAGUGAGCUGUACUUGGACUUUUAGAAAAGAGAGUAGCUGAGGGUCUGAAAGAGUGAUGUUGAAGUUUGGAUACAGAGUCACAAAGACUGUUCCGGCGUUCAGAGUAGUUUGAACAGUACCAAUGCAAGCAUGCUGGUAUUGUAAAAACCUAGUAUCCAAUAAAGCAAUUCUUGCUACAACUGGCAAACCUUUACGACCAUGAAAGGUAAGAGCAAGACGAACAGCUCCAUAAUGGACAUGAGUGUAUCCCUGUUGAGCCCAUUGUCUGGGAAAUUCAGGAGGGAUCUGGAGAGUAACAAAGUACUCCUUUUCAGUAGCAGGAAUAGGAUGCUGGUCGAAUUUGGAGGACUGGACAUACUCCUUUACUUGCAUUGGGGUUUGGUGAAUAAGCUGGCGGAUGGAGCGAAUAGGUGAAAAUGAUGAGUUGGGCUUGGCAAAAGCAGAAUAAGGGUUCAUGAGGGGAAGUUGGGUUUCAGAAAUCUUGGUUUCAUCGCUAAGAGAGACUUCAUAAAGAUAAUCUAUCUUAGAGGCAUUGGAAACACGAAACUCUGGGGGAGUUGAGGAUGAAGGAGAAGGAGCAAGAGAAACGAGUGCUUCGAGGAUUUCUGGUUCUGUAGACAUUAUGUGAAGAGAUCUUCUCAGCACUGGGUUCACCUACCAAGCGCAUGGAAUGGAUAAUAUUACAAACGAAACCACGGCUCUGAUACCAUGAAUGGACCUAGACUUAGAACCAGGGAAGGAGAGUAAAUUUAAAAAAAAAAAACCUAGAUUUUUUUGGAAAAAUCAUCAAUGAAGGUAAUUAAAUAUCUUUUACUUUCAUUAGAAGAUGGGUUUAUAGGACAACAAAUGUUUGAAUGCACCAGCUGCAAAACAUCAUUUGCUCUCCAUGAUUUCUCUUUUGAAAAUUGAGAACGAUAUUGUUUGUUAACAACACAUUAUUCGCAAACUUGGGAAGGAGUAGUAAUUUGAGGAAGACCCGUCACCAUGUUUUUCUGUUAAAGGGUCUUCAAUCCACCAAAACUCAAGUGACCAUAGCGAAAAUGCCACAACCAUGAGGGAUCUUUCUUUUCAGCCAUCAAACAAGAUUAAAUAUUUUCAAUCUUUAAUGGAAACAAUCUAUUUGAACUCAUGUAACAACUACAAUAGCACCUCUAACAAAAUUAUAAAUUUCACAAACACCCCUCUGAAUGGUGAUAACAUAACCCUUUUUCUUGUAAUUGACCAGCACUCAACAGGUUACUUUUCAGGUCAUGAACAUACAGCACAUUAGAGAUUGUUUCCACAAAACCAUUCUUGGUUCUUAUCUUAAUAUCACAUUUUCCCAUCGUUUUCACAGUAGAAUGAUCCCAAAAACUCAUAGUGGAAUGAAAAUAUUCAUUUAGAUAAGAAAAAGAAGACUUACUUCCACUCAUGUGGUUACUACAGUCUGUAUCCACAUACUAAAUAUCUGACUCGAGCUUCUUUUCAUCUUGAACAGCCAUCAACAACGUUUCUGCUUCUUCUUUUUCAACAAAAUUUGAAUUCUCUGCCUUUUUAUUAUUAUUAGGUAGCCUAAUAUAACAUUCAGAUGCAUAAUGAAAAAUUUAUGAUAUCUAAAACACUCUAUCUUGGAUUUGUUAGGUUCUUGUCCUUUGCCUUUGCCUUAAAAUUGUUCAUUAUUGACUUUGAAAUUCCUGCUAACAUUUCUAUUUCCUCGAUCUCCCCUCCUCUACCUCUACCUCUACCAUUUCCUCUGAAAUUGUUGGAAUGAGUAUUGGUAGAAGCCUUCAACACUUGCUCAUCUACUGUUGAACUUCUGUUCAUUUAUGUUCAUGGACCGAUAAGGAGCUUUGUAAUUCAUCAAGAGAGAGUGCAUCUAUGUUUUUCGACUCUUCAAUUGAGCAGACAACAUAAUUAAACUUUGGUGUCAGGGAACACAAAAUCUUCUCCACAAUGGUGACGUCAUCUAUCUUCUCGCCAUGGAAUCGCAUCUUGUUGUUGAUCUCCAUUGCUAGUAGGGGUGAGCAUGAUUCUUGGGUAGAACUGGGAAUUGGAGAAUCGCACCGGAGGGUCCAGUUCGGUUCCCGGUUCUUAAGGGACCGGUUCCAAUUCCCUGUUCCUUUUUUUUUUUUUUCUGGGAAUCGGAACCGGAACCGGUUUGGUAGGAAAAGUUCUCGAGAAACACAGAAAGGGAAGAAAACCUGCAGGAAAAAUAAUAAAAGAAAAGGGGAGGUUAGCAAAAAGAAAACAGCUGCAGGAAGUGACGGGAGAGAGAGAGACGUGAGAGCAAAAGGAAAAAAAGGAAAAAGCAGAAAAGUAGAGAAGCAGAGAGAGAGAGAGAGAGAGAGAGAGAGAGAGAGAGAGAGAGAGAGAGAGAGAGAGAGAGAUUGUUCAUUUCAUCGUGCUCUGCCCCGCAGCUGCUCGAGGGCUCUGCUACGCCGGCCGCCGCACGGCGUCGCGCUCGUCCGCGAGCACCGCGCUGCGUCUCCGUGCCAAGCUUCACCGCGGGCAGCCUAGCCGCCAGCCACCACCGCUGCUGGUCUGUUGCUUCCCUCUGCCGAACCUCCUCACGAGAACCCUUCUACGACCCCAGAACCGAUCGCCGAGCCACCGCGCUGCUUCGUCUUUGCUUUGACACCCAGCAACCCUCGCCUGUGCUGCUCUCCGUUUGAAGUUCUGCCUCAUCUCCGCGUAGCCCUGCCGACGCCGCUCCACUAGCAACCUGCGCUUUGCCCGACGUCACAGCAGCUCACCUCUAUCGCCGACGCCCCUGUCGCAGCACCUCUGCACACCGAACGCCGCGUCGUUGCCACACCAGCACCACAGCUCGACGACCCGACGCCCCUUCUGCCCGAGCGUCUCACCGUCUCGCCACACUAGCCUCACCUGCACUACCCUCCCUUUUUGUGUUUGUUUUUCCACAUGAACGAAGAAAAAAUAAGGUACCAACUAGUUUUCAUAUUCUCUCCCUAAAUGUUUGCCAUGUGAUUUUAAUGUUAGCAGCAGUAGAGAUUUCAAGACCAUUCUUUUAUGGGCAAUUUAAUUUUUUGAUAAACAUGACCAAUUUGCUGCUAGUGCUAGCUGUUACUCUAUAAAAUGCUUGGAUUUGCAUUUUCAUUCUAUUGUACCCUUUUUUGUAUGUGGACAAUGUCAUCUAGAAUCCUAGAUACACAUACUGUAGAAUUUGUUUGGACUGUUUGGGCUGAUGUCAACGUCAUCCUCUAGGUUAAUGGACAAUGUUAAAGAUUUUGCAACUUUACUGAUCUUGAUUGGCUAGUAUGUAUAAAUUAGUCAAAAUAUUCUUUUUGUUUUAAAAUUUUUAAUUAUAUUAUAUUAUUGUUGUAUAGUUCAAAUCUAAAAAUGAAAAUGGAAAAAAAAAAAACCUGUUGGAACCUGGAACCGACCUUGGAAACUGUAACAAGGUAGGUUCCAGGUUCUUGAUUCUGACUGAUAGGUUCCAGGUUCCAAAAAAUAAGGAACCUGUACAUGAUGGUAGGUUUUAGGUUCAGACGGAACUGAACCGGAACCUAGAACCGCUCACCCCUAAUAGCUGGUGACAGAUUCUCCAUCUUUCAUCGCUAGUGUCGCAAAAUCUCUUCUCAAGGCUUGAAGCUAUGCACGCUUCACUCUAAAUAGAGUCUUGAUAUUUUUUUUUCAUAGAAUCUCAAAUAUCCUUAGAAGUUUCUUUGCAAAGAAUAGUCUCCAAGACGGGACGAUCAAUAGCCUGAAACAAAUAAUUUUUUGCCUUUAGGUCCUUCAACUUUCUAGCUUCUAAUUCUGCUUUCUGGGGAUUUGUCAAAGCCAUGCCUGAUGGUGGCUCUUAAAUUCCAUAUUUGACAACCGACCAAUACUCCUUUGAUCGUAAAAAACCCUCCAUCAGCAUGCUCCAAUGGUCAAAGUGACCAUCAAAGUGUGGAAUUGUUGGUUGAACAAAAUUGUCGGUGGCCAUUGGAAAUAUUGCCGCUGCAAUUAUCUCACACCUGUAAACCUUCUUUAUCUUUUUUAAAACUCUCUCACUCUUCUCAAGGGUCUGAUACCACUGUAGAAUAACUAAAGGGGAGGAGAGAUGAGGCCAAAACUUCCUCUUUUUUCAAAACAACGAAGUCUUUUUAUAAAGACAAAUACAUAACGUAAAACACCACUAAAAUAAGACCCAUAAUUACCAAUGUUCUUGCAUAAAGCAUUUAUUCCACUAACACUUAAAAACUAGGACAACUAACACACAAAUUAGCUAAACGUGACUCCACUAACUCCUAAAGAUUAGAACAACUGAAAAACCAAAUCAACAAAAACGUGUAGAAAAAAACAACUAUUAUUUCAACAGGCAACUCAUUGGAUUUCCCAAAUUCCACCAACAAAGCCCGAAGUUGCAGUUACAUGGGCGUGAGAGCGAUCAUGAACGAUAAGGUAGAGAACGAGAUAGGCGAGACAGAGAUUGAUGUGGACAUCGAGCCAUAUCGAGGAGGUGGUGCUAAGGACCCAUUGUCUAUUCCUACUGGUUCGAUUACUCGAGCGCGGGCCAAGCAAUUUAGGCAAGCUGUUGGUGUCAUGGUUCGUGAUCUUUGGCGUGGAGAUGACCUUGGAUCAAAUCUUGAAGAAUCUUGGAAAUCUUGGCGCAAUUUGAUUAUUUGGUCAUCAAAUAUUUGACCAAGUCAAUAUAUAUAUUCUUGUUUAGGUAUAUUCUAGAAUAUGACACAUUAGAUUUCUAGAGUUAGUUUUAGGGUUUUUGUGGCGGCUAGAAGGCCUAUAUUAAAGACUGACUGAAUUUCUUUGAAGGAUAUAUUUUAUUUUUGAGGAAAAGAAUUGAGAAGUUCUCUUCUACUGUUCUUUUGAGGACUUGACCUUAUCAAAAUUCUUCUUUGGCAGUCGAUUCGACUUAUCGAAUGAGAUAGUGAAUUCUUUCACUUGUGACGUCUAUAACGUUGGUUAGUUGACACACGUUUGUCAACAGGUCACGUUUAUACUAAGAUUGCUAAUCACAAGUUCGAUUGGAGGUCAAGGUUCGUAAUUCGCAUCAUCUAGGCCUUCGUAGAACGAUCUUUCCACAACGAUUCACAUCAGAGAUCUUGGGCAGAGAAGGAGCCAGUCAAGAAAUCGAAGUAGGAGCAGGGACUGCAAGGACCGUGAUGGUGGGGAACAUCGUAAGAGACAUGCACAUGGCAACACAAGCCUGAAAAGGCGCAGGCAUGAAGAUGGCCAAGAAGAGCCAAAGAAGAAGAAAGAGAAGAAGGAAAAGAAAGACGAUGGGACAGACCAUCCCAACCCAAAGAUUGUAGAAGUAAAAAGGUUGCAAGGUUCUCUAGGAUUGAAACUGUUGAAGCUCUAGGCAUGACAGAUGCAAAGACAUGCUGAUUGAGUGAUUACUGAUGAUGAUGCUUAGCCUGAUGGAAUGUUCAAAUUGCUUGUAUGCUGUCUUUACUGUAUAGAUUGAGCGGUGAGCAAUCAAAUGUGGCUGUCUCUAAACUUUAUUUACAUUUGACCUUAUGCCCCUUGUUUUUACUCUUUGGCACCAUAAACUUAAGUCUCCAUAACAUUUUGUAGGCUUUCAGUUGGCGUCUAGAGAUGGAUGAUCAAAUAUAUUACCGUCUCAUCCUCUUUAAUUGCAUGGUUGCGAGCUAUGGAUGUGAGUCGCAUGGCUUGGGUUCCCUGGAUCAUUUGAGAGCUGAUGUAAUCGGUCUAGUGUACUUGUGUCCACAAACUGUUCAAGUUUAAGAUCUUACAAGACUCUGCUUUUCGUGUCCCUUGUUGAAAACUUGAAACACGAGAUUGGUGCCAUCAAUGCGUUGCAACAAUUUACAACUACAUACAAACAAGAGAUUCAGCAUCCAUUUUUAUGCACACAUUUCGAUUUGAAAAAGAAGAAUUUGGAUGUGAUAAUGUCGUCUACUGCUCAUGGCAACAUGUUUUCUGACUAUACAUUUACAAGCAAUUGAAUAUGGCAAGUUGGAAAAAAGGGUAAAUAUCUCCAGUCAUGGAAGCGACUCUGGCAACAAAAUGCCAUCAUUGUCGUACUGGAUAGUACUAGAACCGUACAGUCGCUUGCACCUCCUUCCCAUCAGAAUUCUCCUCUUGCACAGCUCUACUUCUUCACAUUCCUCCUCUUCAUAUGUAAGGAUGUCGUCAUUGUCGUUGCUGUCAUCUUCUUCGUUUCGUUCUUCUUCUUCUUUGAAAGGGUUGCUCACUUUCUAGCACACAGUCUUCACCUUCAUCUUCUGUCGAGCACCCUGCAAUUUCAUCAACACCCAAGCUACAGCUUUAGCUCUUAUGGUGGAUUGAGGAAUACUGCCGGUACACCUUUUUUCAACACCAAUGUCAACAUCGUUACCAUUGCUCUUCCCGACCUCAACACCGAGAAGUUUCAUGCCGGGAUUCUUCUUGAAGAUGGCAAACAUUCGGAGGAUCACCCUCUGGUGCCGCUUACUCGGCACCAUUUGUACAUAUGGACUGGCCUUCUCUCCACAUCUCUCGUCGUUCUCUACCUUCUUGUUCAUGAUCCCUCUCAUGCCCAUGUAAUUGCAACUCCAAGCUCUGUCGGUGGAAUUUGGGAAAUUAAAUGAGUUGCCAGUAAGUGUCGAGGCUCCGCUCAACAUCUUACACAAGCCGAGAAGCAACGAGCUUUGGGGUAGAGGCCAGAGAAUGUGGCACCCCAAAACACCUAAGGACGCCAUAGGUACUUAUCGCUCCACCUAAUGACACUAGUACAUCUCUUAGUAGAAACAUCGUAGUUCAUAGGCAUUUUUUUUUUUAAACAGUCCCAACGCAACUUAUUAGCGGAAGCAUAAUUGAAUCUCACCAUCUCUCCCUCCAAUAACCAUAAUGCAAUGCACACCAACUACGCACCAUAUGAAAAGAUGAAGUCGAGCCACUUUUUAUUUACAUAUUUUCAUGAUGGAUUUCUCGGGUUGGUACAACCAAAAAGAAAAGCCAAGAUUUUUAACUACACUUGGCCACAACCCAAAAGAUAUCUCGACCCCUAUAUCGAUCACGUGUCAUCCUCCAUCUACCAGCGUCGGCUACCCUAAAAAAGAAACGUCAGCUCUCUACUCCUCACGCCCAUCCUGGCACGUCGGGCGGUGGUGUGGUGGCAACAUCCCCCGAAACACUCCAUCUCGGCGGACGUGGACCGACAAAGACUCCUGAAUGACUGGGCAACUAGGCCCACAUUGUACAUGACCAGCACACGAACUCGCACAAAUGUUAGACCAGGGAUGGUAAUGCAGUCAAUCUCCGAACACUCUACCUCCACGUCAGAUGGGAGGCCAUAGAAGGUACCCCGCGUGACCGGAGAGAGCGGCAUCUUCCUAAUCUGAAAUGUUGGUCCCCGAAGGGGUGAGUACAGCCACUCAGCAGGUAAAAGAUCCAUUAACUACUCAAUGCAUCACACAAUACAAUCACAACAUCAUGGCAUAGUACAUAUCAUCCGUGCAUCCAAGCAUAACUUACCUUGCGGCCAUGCAUAUGUCAUCAUACCAUAUGUACAUACAUCCUCAUGUACUCAUCACCAUCAUGUCAUACAUAUAUCAUCAUGCCAUAGGUACACAUACAACCAUGCACUCAUCAUCAUCAGGUCAUACAUAUACCAUCAUGCCAUAGGUGCACAUACAACCAUACACUCAACAUCACCAUGUCAUACAGCCAUGCAUAUGUCACCAUACCAUAUGUGCAUGAUUUAAUUUCCACUUUUUAUCUUUCAAUUGAUCACCACAUUUUCUUUCCCGGGAUCAGUAAUUGCAUCCCACAUUCUAUCACUCGCACCUCAACCUGGCAUCGCGAGAAACCUCCGGCACACACCACCGGGCAUCCGGCACCCCCACAUUCCGGGCAUGUCGCAUCCCAACUGACAUCACGAGGCAUUCCCCGGGCACAAACCUCCGAGGCUUCCAGCACCCAACCAUUCCGGGCAUCUCGAAACUCUUGAGGACAUGGGGGCAUGUAUCACAAUACAACCGGGCAUCCGGCACCCCCCAUCCCGGGCAUCCUGACACUCCCAGGGCAUUAUCGGCUCACCUCCAACAGUCUUCUCAUUUAUCAAAAUUCAUAUUCACCAAUUUAUGUCUCACAAUCAACAUGGCACAUGAUGUAAUAGCAACAAAGUCAAAUUCAACAUUUGAUUCUAUAUGCAAUGCCAAUUAUCAGAAUAAUCAUAAAUUACAGCAUUUGAAAUUCGCUCUAUCCAACUUGCUCAGUUUUAGAAAAUAAUUCCAUUUAAUACCCAAAUGACCUUUAAAAAUUAUGAAAUUCGAACAUGUGAUAGUCAAGAUAUAAUGGCAAAUAUUUCAUGAAGGACACUGCACCAAAAGACCCUCAUAUCAUGCGGUAUAGACCGAACAUCACAGCACCAUUAUCCUAACCACUUAACUUGCACAGUUUUCGAAACAUUUUCAGUUAAAUAGGCAAAUGAACUUCAAAAAUUAUGAGAUUUGGAUAUGUUGCAGGGAAGACAUAAAUAAAGAUACUUCAUGAAGAAAACUUUGCCGAAAGAUCUUCAUAAAAAAUGAUAUGACCCAUGCAUUGAACUGAUCAAAUCCGAAUAUACCAGGUUACACGGUUUUAAAACAUUUUCGAUUAAAUACCCAAAUGGCCUUCAAAAUUGAUGAAAUUCGACUAUGUUGUAGUCAAGAUCCUAAGGUAGGCUUUUCGUGAAGAAAUCAAAGUCAAAUUCGUUCUAGGUGAUUUAAUAUAGACGGUUACAGUUUCUGUUUCAAUACCAAGAUUUCCAGAUUUGACCACCUCUGAAAAACCAUGAUUUCACCUAUCUAUUCUUGUUUGUUUUCUCUAAAUUUUUUGUAUGUUAAACCUCAGGAUGUCCUUUACAUCUUUCGUUAAGAAAUCAAAGUGAAAUUUCAACAAAAAGAUAACCUUAUAGUCCAUGCAUUUAUCAAAGGUCGUUAUCGAAAUCUCCAGAUUCUAUCUCUCCGAAAAAUAAAUAUUUCACCCACUUAUACUUGUUCGUUUUGUCCCAAAUCUGAGUAUGUUAUAUUUCAAAAAGUCCUUAACAACUUUCAUUUAGAAGUCAAAGCCAAAAUCCAACUCGAACAUCAUAUGCAAGCCACUACAACAUUCAAGGUCAAACUGUUUUCUCAGGAACAGUUUACUAGUCUCAAACAUCCCUCUUAAAACUUCAACUUUUAACACUCUAAACAUCCGAAAUCUAUCACCAUUCAAACACCCAUGCUAGACACAACAUGCAAGUGCAGAUUGAGGAUCCCAACUUGCCUCUAAACCGAGCAAGCAACGAGCACGCGGCGACUAGACACGGCGGUGACGGACGACAGACGAUCGGCUUCCUUCUUCUUCCACACGCUCACUCUCCCUUUCUCUCUCGAUUUCUCUUUUUCUCUCGGUAACUCUCUCUCUCUCUCUUUCUCUUCGGACGAACCCCUUUCAUCAUCAACCGGUUCCCUCAAAUUUUCCUCUCCUCAAUGAUGAACAAUCAUUGAUUUUGCAUGAAGGACACUUGGACUAAGGGGGAAAACACUUGGCAAAAUCUUCAUGCAAAGGAGUGGGCCUCUCAUGGGCCGGUUCCUCCUUGGUCGACAGCCUAAUGGGGCUCCAUUCGGCCAGGCUUGAAGCCAGCUUGGCCGACAGCUCCUCCUCCUCCUUUGGGCUUCGCGGCUAGGCCCAAAUGGCUGAAGGGUGGGGCUUCUUGUGGGCUGGUCGAGAAUGGGGUGAGGCAAUUGGGCUGGUUUGAGCCUUCAAUUAUCCAGCCCAUCCUCAUCCUAUUAAUUCACAUAAUCCUUAAUUAUAUAAAUACCUAAUUGGAAUUUAUAAUUCACAAAACUUUGUGACCUAUCUUAAUAAAUUCCAAUCCAUAAUCCCCCAUGGCCAAAAAUAGCAAUUUUUUUUAUUAAAUAAUUAUUCACCAAAAGCUUGGCCAAAGUCUUAAUGUAAGACGUGAAUUAGAGCACCCCCUAAAGAUUGGCAAAGAAUUCUAGGAUGCCACAGAGAAGCAUCACAACGUAGAGUCCGCGACUUACAGCAAGAACAUUCCUCACCGUCUUGUGCAGAGAAACCACACCGGAGCAAGGCGAAGAAGGAACACAAUGACGCAAGCCAAGAAGCAAUGAGCUUUGGGGCAGAGACCGGAGAUGCACCGCAACGUAGAGAGCCGAUUCGUACCCAAAAUUUUGCAUUAAGAAGGAAAGGAAGGGGGAAAAGGAAGUUGUAGCACGGGUUUUUUUUUUUUUUUGAUUCAGGAGGAACCAUCUUGCACCGACAGUGCGCCGUAAACCCCCCGGUGACGCUAGCAGGGAAACCACCACCCCGACGUCACGCUUAAGUCACCAUAUAAUAGCUAAGACUGCCUCCCUGCUUCGCAGGGGAUUCGAACCUUGGCCUCCACCAGGGAGGUCCAAGGCCCUACCAUCCACGCUUAUGCAGAAAGGAGGAGAAAGAAAGCAUUAUUAAUGCGUGCAGGCCUACUCCUAAAUAGAAGAGAGAGAAAAGUAGCGGCAUGCCUAUUAAUGGCAGUAAAUUUUUAAAUAAAAAAAGGGAACAUAAUAAAUUUUAUGCAGAAAAACCAGCGGAGCCACGCCCGCACACGUGGAGCCACGCAUCACUUCUUGAUUGGUUGGGCACAUGCUCACUUGGCACUCCGGAAUCACCCGAUAUUUUCUCGCGAUUGCAACGUCUUCUUUUGGUUAGGACAGUUGUUAUAUGAAAAAAAAAAAAUCCCGAAAAUGGAGAUGGAUAACCCAAAAGAGAGAAUACUGUUGGAAUUUCAAUUGAAGAGAAAUUUUUCCGAAGAAAAAAAGUCAGGAGAUAUUUUAUUUCAUUCAGAAAAGAAGGAUCUUGUUUGCAAGGGGGGAAUCAAAGCACAUGCCCCAGGGCCCAGGCCACCGGAGAAAAUUCGACUACGCUCCUCCCGUUUACGUUUCCAAAGAAACAAAAAUAUAAAAAGCACAUGCCACAUUGUCCGUAACGUAAACGAUGAAACGUACGUCAGUUGGCCUCCCUCGAAUAAUGCAAACCCAAACGACGACAAAAAAAGUUCAACAAACGGAUGGCUGACCGAGACGACCUGCAAAAUCCAGAGCAUUUCACUCGCGCUUCCACGACUCAGUGAGUCCGGUCAACGCAGACCGAGACGACCCGCCGGGGCUCAUAGCAGCCCUAGCUUCUUCCUUCAUGGCAAGCACUCGCUCCUUUACCAUCUUUCCCUCUUCACUCUCCAUUAACUCUCUGACUCGCUUCUCGACCUCCUCGGAACUCACCCACCCGUCCGCUGACUCGUCCACCGGAAGGGCGAUCCUCAUUUCCUGUACCAGAAGCACCCUGUUGUGCCGCUGCUCAGCGUAGAGCGGCCACGCCACCAUCGGCACGCCAGCGCACACCGCCUCAAGCACCGAGUUCCACCCGCAGUGAGUCACGAACCCGCCCACCGAGGGGUGGCUCAGCACCUCCACCUGCGGGGCCCAUUUCUUGACCACGAGCCCUCUCUCUUUGGUACGUUCAAGAAAGCCCUCCGGAAGCAGGCACCCCAAGUCCUCGUCGGGCACCGCCGACGUGGCGGCCUUUUGGUUCUUGUCAUGUGUCGGGCUACGGACCACCCACAAGAACCGCUGACCGCUCCUCUCCAGCCCCGUUGCUAUUUCCUUCAGCUGUUCCACCGAGAACACGCCCAAGCUCCCGAAACACAGGAACACGACGCUCCCUCUCGGCUGCGAGUCCAGCCACGUCAGAGACUCCGGCGAUCUGCCGUCGUCGCCUCCCCUGCUAGAGAUCAGCGGCCCAAUGCAGUAAAGCGGCGGAGUGGGCCCGCCGGGCACACACUCGCCGUCCGUGAUGGCUCGUACCGCUCUCGGCUCGAGCUUCUCGAAGGUGUUGACUAUGAUACCGGCCGAAGUCUGCAUCUUCAGGGACGAAUCCAAGAAGCCCUCGUAUGCCUCAUCAUAGCGAUCCUCCAACGGCUUCGCAACAUCGGAGGGUGGUAUCGGCGGUGUGCCUGGGACAUCUAUUGGGGCGUCAAAGUCUUUUAAGCUUUUGGCAAACUUGUCGUGAAGAGUUGGAAGGUAAAGAAAGAAGUUGAGGUAGCCAGCGCCGGAAGUGAAGAAGUAGUAGUAGGGAAUGUUGAGCUCGCGCGCAACGGCGACGGCAGCAAAGCAGAAGCAGUCGAUGAUGAGGCCGUAGACGACAUGGUUUUCGGAGAUGGAGGUGAGGGCGUGGCGGACGUUGGGGUUGUUGAGGCGGAGGAGCUCGAGGGCUAGGGUCUCGUGGUGGGGGGAGGUCGUGGAGAAGUCCGGCGGGAGGGUGGUGGCAGGGAAGAAGUGGAAGGCGAUGGAAGGGACGGCGGCGGAGACGGAGGCGAUGUAGGCGGUGGUGGGGCCGGCGUCAUAAGCUUGGUUGGUGAUGAGGAUGUGGAUGGAGAGGGAAGGGCGGUGGGUGAGGAGGAGCUUGCCGAGCUCCACCAUGGAGAUGAGGUGGCCGAUGGCCGGUGAAGGAUACAGCACGAUUGCUUCCUUCAUUGCUUGGGCUUUGUUGGUGUUGCUGGAACGACGUUUCAGCUCUCUGGGACAAUGGGUUUUGGUGAGAUUGGUUUGUUUCUUUUUGUUCUGGUUUGCAAGUAAUCUUCUCGAGAUCGACGUCUUAUCAACUUUGCUGAGAUUGCUCUAUUAAUGGCCGACACAAUCAUGACAAAUUGUGAAUUGAUUAAUGUGAGGUGACAGUAUUGCUCAUUCUUACUUUAAACACGGAGAAAUUUUGAUAUAACUGCAAUUUAUUUGCAUAAUUGGAUGCGGAAUUAUAGGUUGGUUCAAAUAAAUAUUUUAUAGUCUACAAAGAUAAUGUAGACUGAACUCAUUCCAAUCAUUGAUAAUGCAGGCAGCAGGUCCAUGGGAGAGACCCAUAUAUAAUCAAUUGUUAAGAUGAUAUUGAUCCACAUCAUGAUCUAUAGACUAUAUGUACAAUACCUUCUCAUUGGUUUGGGCUGGCAUUUCACUAGAUCCUUCAUUCAUUCUAUAAUUUCGUUGUAACUGUUUUUUAAAGGGAAAUGAAAGGAGGACAGUCGUGUACACCACAUAUUUUACCAGGGAAUACCUGAUUCUUUGGAAAAAUCAUGAAUCCCACUUGGUGGGUUUUAUAGCCCAUCGACUGAGAUUUCUUCUAAGAGAAAAAAAUCAGCCAAAAUAAAAAUAACGGAAUAAAAAUGAAACUUAUUAACAUUAUCAGUGUUAGAUUAUUAUUUUUUUAUAUUAAGUGCAAAAAAGAAUGAUUGAAACAUUUUCAUUUCGAAAGAAAAUAAAUGUAGAAUUACUAACAGCAUGGAUGCAAAAUAUUUUUCACACUUGUGGUUUUUCCAAUAAAAAAAACUUGUCUGUUUUAAUGAGAAAAUAGAAAAAAAAAAAUUAGUAGUCCAAAUCGAACGAACUAAGGCUAGUGAAUCAAGUUCCUUUGCUCCCAAACCAUAAGUUAGCAUUCCAAAUUGAGGAUUUUUAGAGAAUUUAUCAAUUUGUAGAUGGAAAAUUCAAUAGUUGGUUAUUUUAUCCCUUAAGUAAUUCAUGAAUUUUUUGGAUCUUUUAGAAGUGAGAAUAUUUUUUUUUUCUAAUGCAUAAUCCAUGCUUCUUCUUUUUUUCUUUUGGGAUUUGGUUUGAAGCUUGAUAAGGGAAAAUAUUUUUAAUGCCAUUAAACAGAACUAUAAUAUGACCAGAAAAAAAAACAAUAAAAAAAAAUUAAAUUCAAUUUUCCAAAAUCUUGUCAUUCCAUGAUAGAAUAAUGAUACCACAAUUUGCUUUUCUAUAUUACUGUAGUUAUGUUCUUCAAAAAAUUUCUCUAAUUUCCUUAACUCUUAUUGCCAAAUCCUCACAUAUGGGAAUUUGUGGUCAUUAUGGCACCGUUUUUUAUAGUAACGACGGUAUGGUUAUAUUUGCAGGGUCCAUUCGUAAAUUAGUGGGACUUCUACGCAAUUUUGGAGAGGGCUUUUUAAAAAGCAUUGAUUGUGUUCUAUCAACCAGUUUCCUUUCUUUGGACCGCCGAUGGGUUUGAUACUUGGUCCCAAGGGGAAUGGUUUGACAAAGAGCAGGUGAGCCUGUACCACUUCCUUAAGUAAAACAGAACUGGCAUUUCUUGACUUUUAGCACAAUAAUGACGUAGAUCUGGUCACAAGCACAAUAAUAAAGGCUUGUUUGAGCAAGACAGCUAACCCGACUAGGCGAAUGUAGCAUUCGGGCAUUGUUAGAGGAAGGAUCCGGAGCAAUCCCUAAUCCUUGACAAUGAGGAAUGAAGGCACGAUUAGCGUAUUCGCCAUUUUGAAUGCCUCCCUCUCGAUUAGCUAAAAUUACAAUUUGAGCAUUGCAUCUUAUUUGAAAACACCAUCGAGAAAACACCAUGUAAUUGACUUAUUUGAAAACUCAAUUCUACGUUAUCAAAUCUUUCAAUAAAUGAAAUUAUAUAUAAAGUACAUGUGCAUUUGGCAAUUCUCUAUUUUUACAUGUCAUUAGGUGUAAAUUAUCAAUAAAUUUCGGAAUAUAUGAUGAUUUAUAGUCUAGAGAUGCCAAACGUGCAAAUUCGGCACUGUCUAUUCUUUCGAUCAAUUGAUUGUACGGACAUGAAAAUUAUGUGCAUGGGCAUUACGUUAACAUUGCACCUCCUCGAGCCGAGGCCCGAGAAAUUUCCAAUGAUGAUUAUAAGACAUACGAAAAUCCGUGGAGUUGAUUUAGGUGAGAGAGAAAACAUAAAGGAUUAUAGGAACAUCGCGUGCUUCUUUUCCUUUUCCUCUGUUCCCUUUCUUUUUGGUGCAAUUAAUUUUGCUUCAAUAUGAGUAUUCCCUUAGAUUUCAUUCUGCUCAAGUUAGGUAGAAAAAGAAAACGACAGGAAGCUGUUCAGAGAAAACGCAAUAAAAAAAAUUAAUCAUAGUAUUUUUAAGUGAAUGUGAGCAUGAUCCGAAUUGGAUAAAUCCAGCACCAAAUCUAGGAACCAACUUGCACAAUAUUGGUCCACAAUUUUUGGGACUGAGGACCAACCCUUUUGAGCUUGAGACCAAGUACCAGACUGACCCUAUGAGUCUAAUACUAAUUGAUUAUUUUUUUUAUUUCACUUUUUGCAUUCCUUAAAAGGACAAGUGUACUAUUGCAAAUUAUAUAUGCAUCAAUAAUGCGACAUUGAGUAACCAAAUUAUUGACACAAUCACAUAUCAAAUAUAAAUAUGAGAAAAGAUAACAACAGAAAUUUCAUACUUCUUAAAAGAAACAAACCAUAAAAAUGAACGCACGAGGUAAGUGAGAAGAGGCUAGAGGCAAGUGGAUAGAGGUGACUAAAUCAAGGCGAGUAGACGAGCAAGGCCGAGGUGAGCAAAGAUGGUUUUUAUUUUUUUUAUUUUGGUUGAAUUAGGGCUCAGUUUCUUUUCACUUUCUAAUUUAUGUGACAAACUAAACUGUGAAGAGGACAGAGCAAGAGGUGUUAGAAUUUAGAAUAGACAAAAGUUUAUAAUAUAUAAUAUAUCUAAUACAUAUUAUACUUGAUAUAUAUAUAUAUAUAUAUAUAUAUAUAUAUUAUAAAAUAUAUAUAGGGUUGGUCGGAGUUGGACUAACUCUAAACCUCCAAGACGAGAAUUAACCCGCACACUACAGGGCUCGGGGAUCCUAGGACUAAGGACCAACCUAGUCUCUAUGGGAACCAGACUAGAACUGGCUAGGUUAGGGCUGGUUUGGUUGACUCUGGAUCGAUGUUUAGCCCUAAUUUUAAGUUACGGAUUUACUAAUACAUUAAUGAUAAAUAUAAUAUGAUCGAAUGUGUAACUUGUAACGCAAUCGGUAUGUAUAUUUAUCUAAUCUCUAAGAUACUCUUGAAUUGGUUUUUUUCAGUAGUGAAUCCCUAUGUAAGUUUAGAAAAUAAAUAUUAUCAUUUAAGAUUUUGUCAAAUGUCAUAAUCAUGAAAGUAACUUUUAAUAUUGAAAAUAGCUAUGCAUGUUUUUAUUGACAAUUUCAUUAUCAUGAAAGUAACUUUCAUAAUUGAAAAUAGCUGUGCACAUAUAUUGGGCUAUGGAUGUAGUUGAUGGAGAUUAAAGACUCCCGCUUGCACACACGUGUUCGACAAUAGCGUUAAUACCGGAAUCUGCCUGCAACACCGCCUCCUCCCCGCGUGCCCGUGCAUAGAGAGAUUACGUAGGCAAUUUCGUCCGAUGUAGACCCUUCGAAUACGACAACCUGUAUAUUUAACAGUUCAUUUGUUGUCUAUUUCUAGCGCUGAAAAGAAAAUAAAAUAACCAGAACAUGUCCUGAGGUGCUGCCGACGAAUGGGUAACUGGGUUGUUCUACUGUAAGAGCGCUUCAUAGCCGAAUGAAAUGAUUCCUCAAAAGCUGCCAUAACUUAGAGAGCACUGCAACCUUGUACCAAGAUUUGGAACCGUUACGGUCUGCAAAUCCGCCCGAAAAUUAAAAUAGGUAACACAGAGGGAGAGAACGAUUUGGAGUGUACAGUCCAAGAGAGAUAUUAUUUCACCCAUAAAACAAAGGACUUUAUUUGCACGGGGGAUCAAAGCGCAGCAUACAAGACGAAACUCGAUCAUGCGCACGUUCUGCUUACGUUGACUGAUAAAACCGAUGCAUAGAAAGAACACGCCACUUCGUCUGUGACGUCCGUCCUUUCGCCUCCCUCGAAUGUUGCCUACCUAAAAGACGACGAGAAAAUAUCACCAGCGGACGGCUGAAUGAGCCAAUGAGUCCGGCGCGUUUCACUCGCGCUUCCACGACUCGACGAGUCUGGCCAACGCCAACCGAGACGACCCGCCGGGGCUCAGAGCAGCCUUAGCUUCUUCCUUCAUGGCGAGCGUUCGUUCUCUCACCAUCUUGCCCUCUUCACUCUCCAUCAAUUCUCUGACUCGCUUCUCCACCUCCUCUGACCUCACCGACCCGUCCUCUGACUCGUCCACCGGUAGGGCGAUCCUCAUCUCCUGCACCAGCAGCACCCUGUUAUGCCGCUGCUCCGCAUAGAGCGGCCACGCCAGCAUCGGUAUGCCUGCACACACUGCCUCAAGGACUGAGUUCCACCCGCAGUGAGUCACGAACCCGCCCACCGACGGGUGGCUCAACACGGCCACCUGCGGGGCCCAUUUCUUGACCACGAGCCCCCUCUCUUUGGUACGUUCCAAGAAGCCCUCCGGAAGCAGCGAGUCCAAGUCUGGGGCGGGCAUCGCAAACAUGGAGGCCUUUUGGUUCUUAUCCUCUGAUGGGUUACGGACCACCCACAAGAACCGUUGACCGCUCCUUUCCAGUCCCGUCGCUAUUUCCUGCAGCUGUUCCACCGAGAAGACGCCCAAGCUCCCGAAACACAAGAACACGACGCUCCCUCUUGGCUGCGAGUCCAGCCAUGUCAGACAAUCUGGAGAUCCACCAUCGUCGCCUCCUCUGCUCGAGAUCAGUGGCCCGAUGCAGUAAAGCGGCGGAGUGGGUCCACCGGGCACACACUGGCCGUCCAUGAUGGCUCGUAUCGCUCUAUGCUCGAGCUUCUCGAAGGUGUUGACUAUGAUCCCGGCUGAAGUCUGCAUCUUCAAGGACGAUUCCAAGAAGCCCUUGUAGGCCUCAUCGUAGCGAUCCUGUAUCGGAUCAGCAACAUCGGAGGGCGGUAUUGGCGGUGUGCCGGGGACAUCUAUGGGGGUGGCAAAGUCUUUUAAGCUUUUGGCAAACUUGUCGUGAAGAGUUGGGAUGUAUAGGAAGAAGUUGAGGAAACCGGCCCCCGAAGUGAAGAAGUAGUAGCAGGGGAUGUUGAGCUCACGCGCGACGGCGACAGCAGCGACGCAGAAGAAGUCGAUGAUGAGGCCGUGAACGACAUGGUUCUCGGAGAUAGAGGUGAGGGCGCGAUGGACGUUGGGGUUGUUGAGGCGGAGGAGCUCGAGGGCGAGGGUCUCACGGUGGGGGGAGGUGGUGGAGAAGUCCGGGGGGAGUGUUGUGGCGGGGAAGUAGUGGAAGGCAAUGGAGGGGACAGUGUCGGAGAUGGAAGCGAUGUAGGUGGUGGUGGAGCCGGCGUCGUAAGCUUGGUUGGUGAUGAGAAUGUGGAUGGAGAGGGAAGGGCGGUGGGUGAGGAGGAGCUUCCCGAGCUCCACCAUGGAGAUGAGGUGGCCGAUGGCCGGUGACGGAUACAGCACGAUUGCUUCCUUCAUUGCUU
rnacentral:lncRNA from 1 species